CCCAUUCACGACGCGGAUGCGAGGUGUGGGGUUCCCUUCGAUGAGGAGGCUUCGGAAGAGCACUUCGACUACAUCUUCGAGUACCUGGGGUCGAAGCGGGACCCGAGUCCGAAGUCAGCGGAGGUUUCCGUGGUGUCGAGAGUGGUACCGUCCAGCGCGGCGGAAGAGAGUUCAGGUGAGGGCGGCACGGUGAGGAGCAGCCUUCCAAGCGGGAUGAGCGGUGAACGGACGUCGGAGGCGAAUGGCGGCGCCAUGGUGAGGGGCAAGCACUUGGAGGCGUGGACGGCUUCGAAGAGGGAAAGCGUUGAGGGAAGUGGUGAGAAGUGUAUGGUUCCCGGUGUGAGCAGCAGCAUUGAGACGAAAGUGGUGACGACACAGGCAGCGUCGAAAGAGGAGAUCGUGGAGAGCACCGUGUCGCCAGGGUCGAGCACGCGGAAGCACUUGUCGUCGUUCAAAUUCAGCCACAGGAAGUCUGGGGAUGCGGAGUUGAAGCGAUCGGCCACGUCGAAGCAGGCGAGCGGGAGUGGCAACUCGCAGCAGCAGCUGGAUGCGGGCGCCCCGAACGGGAGGAGCAACGGCAAGGCGAAUGGGAAAGCAGCAGCCACACCGCCUCACCCGCAGAAGGGGAAGUCGACGAGAGCAGGUACCCCUGGGCGGGCGUCGGGUGCGGAUGCGAAAGCCCGGGGCCCGGCGCAGGGUGCAAACGGAGAAGUGGCGGAGGAGCUAAGCAUCCAGAGUCGAUUUUCCAAUAUCACAGUGCGUUCUGGCUCCGAUCCCGAAAACUUUGAUUGGGGCCGUAGUUCUCUAGGUAUCUUCUCCAUUCGUAACGUAGAUGACCCAAUUUGCCGACGCCUGAAAAUCUGGCACAUGAAUCUGCUUUGGAUGACGAAGUGAGACUCAUCCUUGUUCAAUGGUGGCACGAGGUAUGGGGCGGGGUUUGGAUUUCUGAUGGGGGGAUGGGGGCUUGACGGUGCUUUGGACUUGGAUGAUGCAGAAGAGACUAGCAGCAGGCGUGGCAGCAGCUCGGGCACAAACACAGCGCCGGUGGCCGUUUUGAGGAGCACGGGUGCGAGUGUCCGGGGCGGAGAAGACCCGGGACACGGGGAUGCAGAGCCUUCGCGUGUCAGAGAAGGAGAGGGAGGAGGAGAAGGCGAAGGCGAAGACGAGCAGCAGCCACGGCCGAACCAAUUUUGUCCUUCACGGAGGAGCGGCGAGACGAACUCAGAGGCGAGCCCCAGUUUUGAAGGCCCUGCCCUCUGCACAUCGGCGCAGGUCGGAUCGAUGCGUUGUGCAGCGGAGAGCAGGGAUCCUGCGGACGCGAAUGCCCUGGAACCGGGCGGGUGGACCAACGGCGAUCAUCUGGACGAGAGAUUCUGUCCGGAGAGUGGGGUGGCACAUCCCAUGCGUCCCAUGCGUGGGAGCCUGAACCACGCCCCCAAGCAAAACCUUGACAAACUCAGCGAGAAGCUGGAACAAUUAGAAACGUUCGGUGCGCGAGUGGUGUUGCGGAAUCCCCAACAGCAGCUCAUGCACAGUCCUAGAACAGAUAGGAAGCCACCAGCAGGCAGUGGCACACAGGACUGUGGUCGGUCGACGCAAUCAGCUCGGGCCGAGAAGUCGUCAAAACAGAGCAAGUGUCGGUGCACGAUCAUGUGAUUCGCUGGCUGUAGUGUGAGAAGUAGUGGAUUGUGGUUGCAUCUGUUCCGAUCGGUGGUGACGGGCUGUGAGGAGCAGGAUGUCGUGCGCUGGUUGGACGAUGGGAGUGUAUCGCUGAAUUGAGGCGAAAUCCGAUGUGGGGAGCAGGGCAGGUGCAGCGACCUGCUCCAUGGGCAUGUCACCUUGAACUGACGUGAUGGGUCCGUGGCGGCGCGGAUUUAUUUGUGCGACCGUAGUUGAGCUGGGAAGGGUCAAUAGCAUGCGCAUAGAUGGAGCACAGGAACAGUUCACAGCAAUGGCAUGCGGGCUUGAGACAAGAAUGGCAGCCAACGAUUACUGUAGUGUACCGAGGUUAAACUUGAAAAAUAUUCAUCUCUUGUAGAUCUGUGGACAUAAAGAUCACUUCAUCAUUGCUUGGCUGAGUAUUUUUUUAAAGAUGAAGUGGUAUUGUAGUUCUUUUUGUUUGAUAUAUAAGUAUAAGACUAUAUUUUUUAUGAAUUUCAUAGCUCUUUAUUUAUCUUGAUAGAAUAAAUUUUGGUCGAUUUAUGGAAUGUUGUCAAAAAUAUGAAUCUCCAAGACAAAAAACCUCAAUACACUCUUGUGUCAUUCACAAAGUCUAAAAAAUCAUUCAAAAAACAUUCACUAUAGUAUUAAACUAGAAUGGUUAUUGCCAAAAACAAGAAGACUAGAAAGACUUGAAAGAAGACUAAGGAUUAGAACUGUAUUGAUUAGAGUGAAGAAGGUUUCACUUUGGCUUCCAUAUAUACUCUUAAUUAAGAGCUAUAGAGCAAUGUCCUAUAAGACCUCCAAAACAUGUUUAAAAGCUACUCUAAAAAAUAUUAUGAAAUAAAUCUAUUUUUAUCUAUUUAUAUUUAAUCAUAUAAGUAAUGAAAUAGGACCAAUCUAUCUCAAGUGUCCAAAAUCCUAAUAAUUCAUAGCAACAUAAAACUUUAUCACAAAGUAAGAUUCAAAAUAGACUAGAAUAAAACUAAACAAAAUUUAAAUAGAGUGGAACAUGAAAGACAAAACUAAGCAAUUGGAAUUAGAAUAGAAUAGAAGAAAAUAGAAAGAAAUAAAACCAAAUUUUAUUAAGAAGGAUCUAAAGUCAUACUUGACUAGAUACCCCAAAAGGCCUAAGUUAGUCCUAUUUAUACUUUGUUCUACUAUCCUAUAUUUCCUAAAAUGUUCUUAAAUAAUGGACCCCACUUAAAUAACCGAUCUAAAUUUUAUCUAGAAGGUUUCAAAAUAGGCUCCACCUAGAUAACUAUCUUAAGCCAUUUCUAGAAUAUGUGGCAGAAGCUCGAGGCAGUAUGCAACAUCAAAAAUUACUAUAGAAAUGUAGAAAGAUCCAAGCCAUUGAGAUGUCACUUUAUAUAUUUCGGUUGAUGUAGCAAGUGGCAAGUUGGCGUUGAAAAGUAACACCUAAUCACCCUCCCGGAAGGUCUUGUGUUGCUAGUGGUUAUCUUUAUAUUAUUUUUGUCGAUUUUGUGCCAUAAAGAGUCGGUGUCAUGGUUCUUGUAAGGCCGUUGUAAGUCGUUGUAUAAAUUCCUCCAUUGUCAAGUUGGUGUCAAUGGAAUGAUGGAGAGUUGCUAGUAUAAUUGGAUGCUAACUAGUGUUUAAAGAAAUGGUGAAUGAUUGGUACUUACUUGAAUAUUAUCAUUGUAAGCAAACUCUAAGGGCGUCAAAUAUUUAUGCCAAUCAUUAUGAUGAACUACUACAAAUAUCCGUAGCCUAUCUUCCAAAGUCUGAUUUGUAUAUUCUAUUUGUCUAUCUUUUUGGAGUAGAAAGCUAUAGACAUACCAAGUCGUGUACUUAGUAGCUUAAACAAGGCUUGCCAAAAACUCCUCGUGAAGUAUGGAUCUUGAUGUGAAACAAUGACAUGAGGUAAUUCAUGGAGAUAAAAGAUAGGAUCAAAGAAGAGUCGUAUAAACCUUGAGGCAUCAAUAUUUAAGCGCACUACUACCAAGUAUAAUUGCUUCAAGAUUCAAUCCACAAAGAUGGCAAUUGUAGUGUCAUAUUAUAUGAAGUCUUGUUCGAGAGUGCAUUGGACAUCUGAUUGUAGAAGGUAGAAUGGAAAUUACAACAACAAAAUUUUAAUUCUAAUAGAAUAUUAAAUAAAUUCUAAUUAAAUUUUAAUAAUACUAAACAAGUUUUAAUUAAAUUCAAAAGAAAUCUCAAAGAAAUUACAAAAGAAACAAUAAGAAAUCUUAAACAAGUUGAAUUUUUUUUUAUAAUAAACCUUAAAAGAAACCUUAAGAAUAAUCUUUAAUUCAAUUUUUUAAUGAAGCUAAAACUUAUAACAUACAAUUAAAAGAAUUAUUUUCAUAAGUCAUCAAAGAUUGAAUUAUAUAUCUACUACUAAACUUACAAAAUUCUCCAAAACAUAAUAUAUUUUUUUUUUUCACAAAUUCUAAAAUCAUCGAAAGCAAUUGUGACUUUGCAAAGCUCUUGUAAAGUCAUUAUAUACUCAAUUCCUUCAAAAUCAACAUUUGAAGAAAUCCUAUCAAGUUUGCUUUCAAAUCCUACUCUCCAAUCUGUAAAAAAAACCUCCAAGUUGCCAUAGGUGCUCGAUUUUGUGCCUAAGGAUUUGAUUUCGACUAAGGUUGAUAACUAAUCCUCUUUAGGUAUCAAAUUUUUCCCUUUUGAGUUAAUUUUUGUUCCAAUCAACUCCUAAUUUUUUUCUACAUAUGUUCAUAUUCUUUAUUUUUUUAAUCUACCUUGUUUUGCCUUAUUUAUGGCUUUACAAAAUAAGUAGAAGCCUACUUUAUAAAAAGACAACAUUUAAACCUUUAAUUCUACUUUCUUUUGGACUAUUAUAUAUUUUCUAAGAUAAUUUGCUAUAAUAUUUGAAAUAAGAUCUUCUAUAAUAUAAUAGAUUCUUCAUCCUUUUCACCUAUUAGUCGUACUAUAUUAUGACAAUAGUGUUGUGAUAUAAUAUAACUAUAUAGUGAAACUAUAAUCAAAAUUGAAUUUCUAAUUAAUAUCUAAUUAUUUAAGUUCAAUAACAAUUCAAAAUAUCUAAACAUGGCUUUUAUAAAAGCCUCUUAGUUUAUUUUCUUAUCUUAAUAGUUGGUAAGUUAAAGGUUGGUUAGUACUUUUACCUUCUAGGCUAUAGAGACUCUUUUAUUACUUUAGAAAGACUAUAAAUUGAUAAAAUCAGAUUAGAAGAAGUAAAUAAUUAGUAUGGUUGAUACUAGAGUUAAGUUGAGGAUAGGGUUGGACUAAAAAACCCUUAGGAUAAGUUAGAUUGAUACUUGAGGGUCGACCGUUUGUGAGACAGGGUCAAAAUCAGACAUUUGGCCACUAAAACAACCGCAUAGGGUAAAAUAGGGUUUUAUUUGAAGUUCAGAGUUUAGGAUUUGAGAGCUAGGUUGGAGCUUCUUCCAAAGACAUAAGGCUAAUUUUUGUAGGAUAUGUUUGAAUUUUGUAAUUAUUGUUCAAAGUCAAGGUUUGUAUUUGCAACUUGGAAUUUAUGCAAUGCAAUUAAGGCUAGCACUUUUAGCUAGUUUGUAAAAUUGGUAUCACAUCUAUAGUUCAAAUUUUGAUAGUGCUUCGUUAAUUAGGUGUGAUAAGUGUAUGUAAAAUUUUGUGAUAAUCUAAUAAUGAAAAUAGAAGAUAUUUGGAUUUUGGUACAAGAAUAUACUAGAAGUUGGCCGUUUUUGGCUAUGUAGGAUUUCUAUGAUAUUUAAAAAACUACUAAUCAGAUCAAAGUGAAAUUUGGCAUAGUAUUGGAAGACUUAAAGAUUAAGCUAUACACUAAUUUUAAAUUGAAGUUAAUAGUUAGAAAACGAGAAAUCACUAUUGGAACAUUUGCAUCAACUUUCAAGUUGGCAACCAAGUAAUAUUAGUGUGGUUUUUGGACAUUUUCUCACAAUCUAUAAGUUGGAUUGGAAUAAAUUCUUAUUAAAAACAUAAAAGAUUUAUAGUAGCAUUUAUAUGCGAUUUUUUUCUCCAAGUGAUUGGUUGGAAUACAAGCUACAAUUUGCUAAAGCUUACUAAUUAAGAUUAAGACUUACAAAGAAAGUUUGAAAUUGCUUAAUUAUUGAAGUAAUAAGUCAAUUGGAAUUUAUGUAUGGUUGAAAUUACUAAGAAGAGUAUUUUUGAGCACUUUGUAUUGGAUUUAAGUACUUUUGAAUUAAAAUUCAAAUUAAAUUCUUCUUGUAAGGGUAAAUACAUUUUAAGAUUUUUGGAUAUUUGUAAAACAUAAUUCCACCUUCUAUAGUCAGAUGCUUGGUGCAUUCUCAAAUAGGACAAUACAUAAUAUGACAACAAUGUGAUUAUAAGCAAGUACAAUAAAUACAUAAUAAGAUCCAUAGUCACCUGCUCUCAAUAUAUCGUAGGAUGCAGAACUGGUUGUAAUAGUCUACGAGACAUUGUGUUGUUGUGAUGUAAUACGACUAUAUAGUGAAAUUAUAAUCAAAAUUAAAUUUCUAAUUAAUAUCUAAUUAUCUUAGUUCAAUUAUAAUUUGAGGUAUCUAAACAUGGAUUUUAUAAAAGCCUCUUAGAUUAUUUUUUUAUCUUAAUAGUUAAUAGGUUGAAGAUUAGUUAAUAAUUUUACCUUCUAGAUUAUAGAGACUCUUUUACUACCUUAAAAAGACCAUAAAUUGAUAAAAUCAAGAUAAAAGAGAUAAAUGGUUGAUAUGAUUGAUACAAGGGUCAAGUUAAGGAUAGAAUUGGGCUAAAAAAUCCUUAGGAUAAGUUAGAUUGAUAUCCAAGGGUUGACCAUUUAUGACAUAGGAUCGAAAUCAGACCUCUACUCACUAAAACGACUGCUGAGGUCAAAUUAGGGAUUCAUUUGAAGAUUGAAGGAUAGGAUUUGAGAGCUAGCUUGAAGUUAUUUUCAGAUGCAUAAAGAUUUUUUUUGGAGGAUUUUUGAAGACUUAGCAAUUGUUGUUCAAAGUCAUGAUUUGUAUCAGUGAUUUGGGUUUUAUAUAAUAUAAUUAGGGCUAGUAAUUUUGGCUAGUUUGUACAAUUGGUGUAACAUCUAUAGUUGAAAAUUUGAUACUAUUUGGAUUAUUAGGUAUACUAAGUAUAUAAAAAAUAUUGUAAUAAUCUAACAGUGUAGUUUAGAGAUAUCUAGUUUUUAGCACAAGAGAGUUUUGGAAGGUGGCAGUUUGAGGUUGGAUAGGGUUUCUAUGAUAUGUGAAGAUCUAUCAGUCGAAUUAAAGUAAAAAUUGGCAUGGUGUUGAAGGACUUGAAGAUCAAGCCACACACCAAUUUUGAAACAAAGUUAAUGGUUGGAAAGGAAAAAAGCACUACUGGGAUUUCUGCUUCACUUUUCAAGUUGACGGCCGAGUGAUAUUAGUGCAAAUUUUGGAAGUUUUGUCAUAAUCUAUAAAUUAGAUUGGGAUAAAAAUUCUUAAGCAUAUAGAAGACUUAUAUUAACAAUUGUAUGCAAAAUUCUACAUCAAGUGGAUGGUCGGAUUGGAUGUGACAGCUUAUUAAAGCUCACUGAUUAGGAUUGGGGCUUACAAGAAAAAUCUAAAUUGCUUAAAUAUGAAAGUAACAAGGUAAUUGGGAUUUUUGUAUGAUUAAGACUACUAAGAAGAGUUUUUUUAGUACUUUUGAAUUGAAAUUUAGAUUAUAUUCUUCUUGUAUGGAUGAAACCUAUUAGGGUUUCUUAGUUACUUGUGAAACACAAUCUUAUCUUCCACAACUAGGUGCCUAGUGCAUUCCUGAGCAAGACAACAUGUAAUACGACAUAAAUGGGUGAACCCAACGUGAAAGUUUGGAAUAGAAGGUAUUGGAUUAUAUUAGUGAUUAUUUAGAAUUGAUGGCGCAAGAAGAUAAGAAGUUUGAAUUUGGACUUUUUGAUGGAGCUUUGGAUGGAGCUCCAAAUGUAUCUUCAAGCACAACUUCAAGUAGAAUUUCUAUUGGUGAACAAGGUAUGUACUUUGAUCCAAAUACUACAAAAAUAUUUCAAGCAUUUACAUUAUUUAUGCAACAGCAACAAGGGAGUGAUUGCAAAGAGGCUUUGGCAACCAAAACAUUGCAAGCAGUGAUUAACAAGAUUGAUCAAUUUAAUGGGAGGAAUAUUUCCAAAUAUUUAAGAUAUUAUGUGCAGAAAAUGGAAUUGAAUUGCAUUGCUGAGAAGGAGAUGAUUCAAUUAUUUGAGCUUGCUAUGGUAGCAGAGAUAAGAGAGCAUAUAAGGUCUAUUAUGGGGCAAUUUAAAAGUUCAUAGGAGGUAUUUUCACAUACGUUGAAGGAUGAGUAUUUUUUGGAGGAUACUAAUUGAGUUACCAAGAAAUCAUUCUUAGAAUAGAUUGAGCGACCUAACAAAAAUUUGCAAGCUACAAAAUUAUUAAGAGAAUUUGAAAGGCAAUUUUUUUGAUUAUCGAAAAUGGAAAAGUUAACAUUGGGACCAAACAAGGUUGAAUUGUUUCUUCAAGCUGCUGAUGAAGAAUUACAAGAGAAGUAAGAGGUUCUUCUUGAAGAUAAAGAAGAAGAAGAAGGAUUGACAACAUAAAAAGCUGUUGAAGAUGCUAUUGGAUUAUUUAUAAAAAAAGAAAAGAGAAAGGAUAGAUUUGGUAUUCAAAGAGUGGUACAAGUACUAAAAAUUCCAAUGCCUACUACACAAUUGAUUGUGCCUAUUGUCCAACCUCCAUUGACUACAUCAAAGAAAGAAGAUAUGAGACUUGAGGAGAUUGUAUGAGAGAUGCGAGAUCUUCAAAUUAAACUUGCAAGGCUUGAAGAAAAGACUUCUACAAUAAGUUCAAAGGCUACUUUUAAAGAAAGGUAUGUGCAAAGAUGUAUUUGGUGUGAUGAUGAUUCUCAUUCUUAAAAAGAUUGUGGUGAAUUUGAUAAAAUGGUACAAUAAGGCAUUGUUUAUUGAAAAGAUGGAAAGGUUCCAUUGAAAGAUACUAGUGAUCUUCUCCAAACAAACUUUGAUAAAGGAGGCAUGAAAGCAUUGGUUAAAGAUUAUUUGGCAAUACAUGGAAUUGCGGCAAUAGAAGCUUCAAGUUAUGGAAUUAGGGUAGAUAAUGAUGGCAGAUAGAAUUUUGUUGGAAAUGUUCAAUUAUGUGAACUUUGGUCUUUUGCCAUUUCUACAAUGCAAAAAGAGAAGAUGCCACAAGAAUUUUAUUAAAAACUGUUGCAACAAUUCGUAGUGCUACAGGUUGGAAGGAUCAUAUAGAAGCUUUGUCAGCACAUGCAUAUAUUGCUAAAAGUCAAUAUGAAGCUUUAAUGGAAGAAAAGAGGAGAGGAAAUUUUGAUGAUUCAAGAGAAGGAAAUUCUUCUAAGAGGCAAACUCAAGGAGAUAAGGCUUGUGCAGUGGCUUCACAAGAAUUGUCAACAAAUGAUACUUCAACAAUAUCAGAAGAAAAAGUAAAGGAGAUGAAAGAUAAAGGUAAAUUGAUAAUUUAUAAACUACUCUCUGAUAUUGAAGCCACAAUAGAUUUAAAGGGAGUGCUUGAGGAAUGUGUGCUCAAUGCUAAGGUUGAAUUUACAUUUAAAGAAAUUUUAGGAAUUGCCAAGAAUGAAUUCCAUGAUGUCAUUAUUCAUAGUAUUAAAUAAAAGAGGUAAUUAAUGGAAGAAGCUGGAUUGAAUCAUGAUAUUGAUGCACACAUAUAUGAAGGUGAAGAAGAUGUAUUUGAUAAUUGUUACAAAUAAUCAGCAAGUGAAGGGAGAAGUCAUAAUCAAAGGAUACGUUGUCAUGAUGUAACACAACUAAUAGGUAAAAGAGUGUGGAAAUUAUUAUAAUGUAGGAGACCUUAGUUCAAAUUAUUCGAGCAAAUUAUCUUAAAAAUAUAGUUAAUAGUAACAAGGGUAGUAAAACUAAAAGGUAUUAAUGCUGCCUUUUUAGAAAGGUGACUUCUACUUACUUUGUAGGACCAUGAAUAAUGCAAAAUCAAGUAGAUUAAAAAAUAAAUGAUAUAAGCAUCUUUAGAAAGAAGUUAAGAGUAAAUUCUAGCAAAAUUUAUUUAGAAAAACUAGAUAUUGAUACUGAGAGAGGGCGAGUUAUGAACCAGGCUCAAAAUCAGACCCUGAGGCACAAAACUGAGUCUUGACGAUGAAUUUGGAGUUCUUUUUGCAAAUUGGAGAGUGGGAUUUGAUAGAAAAUUGGAUAGGAUUUCUAUGAGCAUUAACUUUAGAUGAUUUGGAGUUUUUAUAACUUUGUAAGAGCUUUAUAAAGUCAAGAUUGUUUUUGGAUGACUUGGAUUUUGUGAAAUAAAAUAGGAUUGACGUUUCUAGUGAUUUCAAGAAUUUGGUAAUAGAUCUAUAAGUGAAAUUUUGUGAAUUAAUGAUCAUAGUUGUGUUUAAUAUGUGUUAUAAAUCUUAGCUUGAUCUAACAAUUGAAUUGAGGGUUAUUGAGGUUUAAGUGGGUCAAGGUCUCAGAAAGUAGAAUUUUAGGUCUAGUAAGGAUUUUUAAGAUUUCUUGCAAUCUACAAGUUGGAUUGGAAUGAAAUUUAUGUAAAAAGAUAUAUGACUUGUUUUUUUAUUUAUAUGAGAAUUUUAAUAUCAAUCUAAUGGUGAAAAAGAGAGAUAUUGGCUCUAGGAGAUUGGCAUUAAGGUUGGAGAAGGACGCCGGCCAAUACCCAAGCACGUUUUUGAGGUUAUCAACUAUUUAGUAAUUCUGAUCAUUUUGAAAUUUAUUAUGCUUGUUUUUAACUUAGUUUUUAAAAAGUAUGAAAAAUUUGACUUAAGAUCAAUGGUUCAAUCAUUAGUUAUUGAGGUUUAAAUCUAUUGUAGAAAUUAGUAGGAUUUGAUUGGGAUUUUGUUUAAGGUUUAGGAUUUGGUUAGGAUUUAGUUAGGAUUUGGUUUAGGAUUUGGUUUAGAGUUUAGAAUUUGAUUUAGAAUUUAAGAUUUAUUUAGUGUUUGGUUUAGGAUUUAGAGUUUGGUUAGGAUUUGAUUUAGACUUAAGGUUUGGUUAGAGUUUGAUUUAGAAUUAUGAUUUGGUUAAGAUUUAAUUUAGGAUUUAGGAUUUGAUUAGGAUUUGGUUAGAAUUUGGUUUAGGAUUUAGAGUUUGGUUUAGGGUUUAGUAUUUGGUUUAUGAUUUAAGGUUUGGUUUAGAGUUUAAGAUUUGGUUAGGAUUUGAUUUAGGAUUUAGGGUUUGAUUAGGAUUUGAUUUAGGGUUUGAUUAGGAUCUAGUUUAGGAUUUAGGAUUUGUUUAGGAUUUAAGAUUUAAUUAGUUUUUGGCCUAAAUUUUGAAUGAAGUCCAAUAGGAUUUUAACUAGGAUUAAAUUAAGAUUGAAUUGAGAUGUAUUUGAAAUAUAUUUGUGAUAUUUUUUUUAUUAUAUUUCUUAUUGUUUUUUUAUAAUUCCUUUGAGGUUUCUUUGAAUUUGAUUAAAGCUUGCUUAGUAUUUUUAUGGUUUAAUUAGAAUUUAAUUAAUAUUCUAUUAGAGUUAGGAUUUUAUUGUUGUAAUUUUCAUUCUACCUUUCACAGCUAGGUACCUGGAGCAUUCUCAAGCAAGACUUCACAUAUUACAACAACGUUUUGAUGAUCAAGGUAAUAAAGAUAGAGAGGUUUUAAGUCAUUAUACUUGGAAGUAUUAGGCUACAGCAACUACAAAGGCAUUAGUGAAGAUUGGAGAUAUAGAUGAGCCAGUUAUUGAAUUAAUUGACUAUGGUUCAGAGAUAAAUCUUAUGUCUAAAGAUCUUUAUAUGAAACAAAGGUGGCCAAUUGAUAUGGAGCAUGGAUGGAUAAUACGGAUAGCCAAUAAUACACAAAAGGAGUUAUCUAAUGCUUGCUCGGAUAUGAACAUUUAGAUUGGUGAUAUUGCAAUGGAACAAAUUUUUUUGUUCAAGAUGCAACAUCUUAUCCUCUUAUCUUGGGACAACCAUAUAUUAUUACAACUUGGAUGGAAAUAAAGGUACUUGAUGAUGGUUCAGCUUAUGGACAAAUUCCUAGUAAGGAUGGAAGGAAAAAAAUAUAGUUUUUAACUGUGCCUCCAAAUCAUGAACAGAAUCAAGAAAAAUUGAGAGAAAAUCCAUUGCCAAAGAUUGUUAAAGAAUUCAAAGAUUUUUUAGAGGUACGACUAUAAAGCGAGAUUAUAGAGGUACAAAAAGAGAGGUACUCUCACAAGAUGUAGGUCCUUUAAUAGAAGAUUUAUUAGUAUUUUUGAAAAUAGAAGCAUUAUGUAUAAGAAGAUUGAUGAUUUAAAAAGAAAAAAAAAAGAAAUUAAGUACUAUUGAAAAAGAAUUUUAUAGGUUAGGAAUAUUAGAAGAUAAUAAAAAGAUUAUCGAUAUUUAUGAAGAAAAUAGACUAGAAGAUCCUUUGGAAUUGAUUGCAUCUAUUGGAUUAGAUAAUGAUGAUAAAGUUAUACCUAUUCAUUUAUGAAAAGUUUAUGAUACGAUUGAAUCUUUUCAAGCAUCAAAGGUUAUAAUUGUGACAAAAUAUAAGAUAAUAGAUAAGAAAGUUAAUCCGGUUGUUGGACCUUUGCCAAAAGAUUCUAAAGAACAAAUAGAAGAAGCAUCAAGAAAAAAGAGCUUGAGAGAUCCAAAGAAUAUUGGAUACAAGUUUACUAAAGAGACUGUUGAAGAAUUGAAAAUUAGUUGUGAUGGUUCUUUAUUGCCAAAGGAAAUUAACUGCUUCAAAGAGAUGUUGGCAAAAUAAGGUAGAUCAUUUGUCUUUAAAUCUUAUAAACUUGGAUGUGUGGAUCCAAAUAUUAUAACACCUAUGGUUAUUUUCAGUAUACCUGUCACGGACACAAAAUACAGACUUGAAAUCUAACAAGAAGUUCAAGAAGAAGUGGCAGAACUAGAUUAAAUAGAUGAGUACAAGAACAACACCAGAAAGGUGAGCUAGAACUCCAAGAGAUGUGUUGUCGAGACUGAAGAACCCUUCAGCCUCGACUCCUAUAUAUACCACUGAAUAGGAAGCUUCUUGAGCUACUUCCGCUAACUAGGACGCUUCUCCAACAACUUCUACUAAUUAGGAAACUUCUCGAGCAACUUCCUAGAAUCUAUCAGAAUAUUCUAGAACCUUCUAAGAAUAUUCUAGAACCUUCUAAGAGAAUCUUUAGGGAAUAUUCUAAGAAUCUUCUAGAACCUUCUAAAGGAAUCUUUAGAGAAUCUUUAGAGAAUAUUCUAGAAGAAUAUUCGAAGAAUCUUCCAAUGUAUGUCCAUGACAUCACCUCCUCUUCUAACUUCAAGGUCUCCGAGAAGCAAUGUUGUUAUCAGUCAAUACCAACGCAAGAAAAUGAAAUUCUGUCGCAUCACAUCCGCUAUGAAUUCCAAUUGUUGUUCACGAGGCAAAUGAUUCAUCGGCCCUUGGAGCCAACGGUAGUGACCAACACCUUCAACCUCUGACCAAGCGUGGACUUCUGUGUCUUCAUUGUGAAAUUGUCCUCCAAACACACCUUCUGGCUGACCGUCGUAGGUAGGCUCGACCUCAAAUACAAUUACUAGCGAUCUGUUGCUCGGUAUCCUCCGACGUCGUCGUGGUGCAGGCGGUUCUUCAUCUCGCGGUCGUCUUCGUGAGCUAGUCGCUUGAGAUGACAUAACAAGUGUAGUAUCUUGACUAUCCAUGUCCAAAGGCUAAAAUGAUGAGAGCAAACUAUAGUUGCUAACAAAGUUCUACACUAUCGAACUAUGGGUUUUGGAGGUGCCCUCCCCCCUUUUUAUGCUACUUGAUGAGCAAGCUUCAGCAAGAAGCUAUCGUUGAAUCGGCUUAGGUUUAUGAGGAUAUCGUUGAUGAAAUUCGUGUACCUUUUUUGGUGCAUUGGCAAGAUUUUCGGCACGCUCCCACGUUCGUUCAUUGAUGUCGUAUCCACUCCAAUGCACUAAAUACUCGAAUUUUCUCCUAUUACGUUGUGAAUCUAGUACCUUUUCCACCUCGUAUUCCUCAUGGUUUUCAAUUUCGAUACUUGGUGGCGGACUUUGUACUCUUUGGGGAAAAGCUGACUCUCGAUAAGGUUCCAACAAAGACACAUGAAAGACUGGAUGUACCUUCAUAGUAGCUGGUAACUCCAGACGAUAUGCCACCGGAUUGAUCUGCUUCCCGAUAACAAAUGGCCCUAAUCUCCGAUAGUCCAAUUUGUCACAUGGCCGCUUGGUCUUGAUAUUCCGUCGAAGAAGCCAUACUUUACUUCCAACUUUAAAAGUAGGCGCCUCAUUUCGAUAUUUAUCUGCAGAUGCCUUGUAACUCUCUUGGACAGAUUACAAUUGAAGCUUCAACGUCGCUUGAAGCUCCGAUAGUUGCUUCACAAAUCCUUCAGGUACUGGGUUGUUAUUUGCUGAAGAACUCAAUAAAUCGAGCUUGGGGUGGUAUCCGUGGUUAGAGAAGAAUGGUGUUUGUUGAGUUGACGCAUGAAGAGUGUUGUUGUAUGCAAACUCAGCAAGCGGUAGAUAUGCAGUCCAAUCAUCUUGUUGAUAGUUGAUGCUGCAUCGUAAAUAUUGCUCCAAAACUUGAUUCACCCGCUCCGUUUGACCGUCAGUUUGAGGAUGAAAAGCCGAAGAGAGCUUAAUAUCCACCUUCAAUAUCUCAAAGAGAGACCUCCAAAACUUGGAUACAAACUGAGUACCUCGAUCCGACACGAUAUCAUCUGGUAGGCCAUGAUAACGAUAUAUGUUAUCAAGAAAGAGUCUUGCGGUGUCUUCACUUGAUGAUGUUUUCUUGCAAGGCACGAAAUGCGCCAUCUUUGUAAAUCGAUCCACCACAACAAAGAUGCUGUCAAAUGAAUUCGAUGGCGGUAGGUCCGUAAUAAAGUCCAUAGAAACUGAAGACCAUGGUCGGUGCGGAAUAGGCAAUGGCUGGAGAAGUCCAUACGGACGAUGUCGAGGGAUCUUGGAUCUUGAACAAACAUCACAAGAAAGGACAAAUUCCUUCACAUCCUUCCACAUUUGGAGCCACCAAAAAUCUCGUGAAAUGAGCUCCAAAGUCUUAUUGAAUCCAAAAUGUCCCGCAGCUGGAAAGUCGUGGCGAGAUUGAAGUACUCGGAGUCGAGUUGGUCCUUUCGGGAUAUACAACCGCUCCUCAAAAUACAAAAGAUCUCCCUCCACCUUAAACUUGUCAUUAUCGACACGUUGUUUGAUGUCAAGAGCUAUAGAAUCCUCAAUGGUCGCAGUACGUACCUCGCUGAGGAAGCCGUCAUCGAUAGUUGCAACAGUAGCAAAAAUCCUGAAUUUUUUUGGUUUCAACAAUGUUGUACAUUGUUGAUCAAACGCUGCUUCUCCAGCCUUUGGCGCAAGAUACGAUCUCCUCGAUAAUGCGUCAGAUAAUCCUUGCUGUUUUCCAGGGCGGUAGGUGAUAAUAAAGUCAAAUCGUGAUAGAGACAUAUUCCAUCGAGCUUGACGACGAUUCAAAAUUCGAGCUGUCAUGAAGUACUCCAAAUUCUUGUGGUCCGUAUAAACAGUCACUGGAUGUGCAGCUCCUUCGAGGAAGUGACGCCACUCUUGGAAGGCAUCCACUAUAGCAAGCAGCUCUUUGUCGUGGAUCUCGUAGUUGAUCUCAGCAGCAGAGAACUUUCGUGAAUAGAAUGCAACUGGGUGAAGCUUCUUGUCUAUGCCCAUCUGUGAAAGCACAGCUCCCAAAGCAAAAUCUGAAGCAUCGGUCUCUAAAUAGAAAGCCUUUGCAAAGUCAGGGUGUACCAAGAUUGGAGCCGUAGUGAAUGCCGUCUUGAGAUCUUGAAAUGCUUUUGCUGCUUGUGAUCCCCAUUCGAGCUUGUCUUUGCUUAUUAGACGCGUGAGUGGUGCAGCAACUUGAGAAUAAUUCUUGAUGAAGAUCUGAUAGAAGUUAGCAAAUCCAAGAAAACACUGAACAUCUCUAACCGUCUUCGGAACUUCCCAAGAUAUAAUUGCUUCUACCUUUUUUGGAUCCAUCUUUAAGCCCUCUGUAGUCGCAAUGAAGCCCAAAAAUUCCAUCUCAUUCUGGUGAAAUUGACACUUCUCCAACUUGGUGUAGAGUCCUCAUUCGCGUAGUUUUUCAAGAACCAAACAAACGUGCUUCUCAUGUUCUUCUUCAUUCUUGGAAAAUAUCAAAAUAUCAUCCAGAUAGAUGACAACAAAGUCAUCGAGGUACUCCCGAAAGAUGUCGUUCAUCAUAUGCUGAAAGACCGCUGGAGCAUUGGUAAGACCAAAAGGCAUGACAUUGUACUCAAAAUGGCCAUACCUUGUACGAAAGGCUGUCUUCCAUUCAUCUCCUUCUUUGAUUCGCACAAGGUUGUAGGCUCCUCUUAAAUCAAUCUUUGUAAAAAUCCUUGCACGUCCAAGUUGAUCUAAGAGGCCGGAGAUCAAAGGUAAGGGAUAGCGAUUUUUCUUGGUCACCUUGUUGAGUCCUCGGUAGUCCACGCACAUCCGCAGUGAGCUAUCCUUUUUCUUCACGAAUAGGAUUGGUGCUCCAGCUGGCGACUUUGAAUGUCGAAUAAAAUUCUUGGCUAGAUUCUCAUCGAUGUACUUCCGCAAUUCUGCCAACUCCAUCUGCGAUAGGUUGUAUAUUGGACCAAAAGGUGGUUGCGCUCCUUCCUCUAAGUCUAUGGCGCAAUCAUAUGGUCGAUGUUCCGGUAGUAUAUCAGCGUUCUUCUUCUGAAACACGUCUUCAAAAUCCCUAUAUUGCUCUGGUAUAUUCGAUGUUGAGAUAUUCUCGCCGCUAGUUGGAGCUGCAUAAAUGACAAAUGGUGCGCCUUCCUUGGACGAUCUUAGGAACGCUCUUGCUCCAAUAAACAUGGAUUUCUUCAUGUAGGUUCUACCAACAGGUUUAUUAUUAUUUUUUUCAGGAAAUGUUAUCCUUCGUAGCCUCCAAUCAAUGGACGGAUUAUGAUCUUCUAACCAAGAAAGACCAAGGAUAACAGGGCUUGAUGGGGUUCUAAUAAUAUUAAAAAUAACGUGACUACUAUGGUCCUUAAACACCACUUCUAUAGGUUCUGAUUCGUGGGUAACGUUGCCUGACAAUAAGGGUCGUCCAUCUAUCACCUCUACGUGAACAGGUUUGGACUUCUGUACUAAACGGAUCUUGUGGCGUUUAGCAAACUAUUCAUCUAAAAAACAAGUAGAUGCCCCCGAAUCCAAUAAAGCUAAAGUUUUUUGUUUUUGAGGGCCUAAAAACAAAGGAAUUGUAAAACAACGGGCAGGUUGGACAGAGAAGGAGGAACCUGAUUGUUGUCGUGAUAUUAGAUUGUCCAGCCGCACGGUUCUUACUGUGGCUCGGCGUUGUCGUUUUUCAGAAUCAUCGCACUUCUAGUCUUGACAGGGUGCCAAUUUUGCUUCUUUGGGCAAUUUCCAACCUUGUGACCUUCUUCUCCAUAGUACAAACAUAACCCUUCCUCCAUACGCCGUUUCUUCUCUAUUGGAGUAAGAGAUCGGACACGCGCCGUAUCGAUUUGCAUGUCUGUUGCCUCCGAAUGUGAGUUUAAGCUAUUUGCAGACAUAGUCACGUCGUAACGAGUCAUUUGGUAUCUUGGACGUUGGUCUUGGCGACGAUGGAAUAUGCGGUUGUCACACUUUACAGCUUGGCUAAUAGCUUCGUUGAGCGUUUGAGGAUCAGGAAGAGAUAACAGCAAGUCCUUCACAUCAUCCUUCAAGCCCCAAUAAAACUGACUCACCAACGCCUCUUCACCCCAAUUAAUGUCAUUUGCCAAUUGUCUGAAAUCCGAGGCAUAGACUGAUGCAGAGCGUGUUCCUUGUCGUAGCGAUCGGAUCUUUGUUGUAGCCCAUCGAACUUUAUCAUGCUCGCCAAAUGCUUCUGCAAACGCCUCCAAGAACGUUUCAAAGUUGCUCAGGAUUGGCGAUCGCUUCUCGAACAAGGGAGUAAACCAAGACAGAGCUUGUGCUGUAAGCAAGGUUCCAACAAGCCCAACACGCGCUUCCUCCAUCGGAUAACGUUCGGGCUGUAAAAUUGUUAUCAACCUGAUUUGAUUGACAAAACCUCGAAACUUGGAACGAGUUCCAUCAAACUUAUCCGGAAGACUAACUCGAGGCUCCUUUCGUUGUAGGACUACUCGAUCUUGUUGAAAUGGAGGUAGAACUGCUUCUUCUGGCACAGAAGUUUGAGGCUGAUAUGCUUUAGAUGGCGCUAUCUCAGAUGCUCCAUUGUUAUGGAGUCCUACCAUGACUCCUUCGAUCUCUGUUGUCCUAUGUGACAACGAGGCAAGAGCAUUUAUGAUGGCGUCUAGUUUGGAUUCCAAACUUUCAGCCAUUUUAACGUCUUAACCUUCGGCUAACCUUCAGAAAGAAGAAAAAAGAGUUUUGACAAGAAGACAAUAUUGGUUCAGAGGAGAGUACUCCGCAACCUCUAAAACGCCUUAAGACUCCAAGAUGAGGGGUAAUCCACUCUCUCCAAGAAGAAUAAGGCUCCAAUAUUGAGAAAGAAGAGAUAUCAGUUUAGAGGAGGGUAAUCCGCAACCUCUAAAACACUAGCACACCUUCAAGAAGAGGGGUAAUCCACUCUCUAACAAGAAGGAACUAGCUCUGAUACCAGUGAAAAUGCAGUCUCGACAAACUGUCACGGACACAAAAUACAGACUUGAAAUCUAACAAGAAGUUCAAGAAGAAGUGGCAGAACUAGAUUAAACAGAUGAGUACAAGAACAACACCAGAAAGGUGAGCUAGAACUCCAAGAGAUGUGUUGUCGAGACUGAAGAACCCUUCAGCCUCGACUCCUAUAUAUACUACUGAAUAGGAAGCUUCUCGAGCUACUUCCGCUAACUAGGACGCUUCUCCAACAACUUCUACUAAUUAGGAAACUUCUCGAGCAACUUUCUAGAAUCUAUCAGAAUAUUCUAGAACCUUCUAAGAAUAUUCUAGAACCUUCUAAGAGAAUCUUUAGGGAAUAUUCUAAGAAUCUUCUAGAACCUUCUAAAGGAAUCUUUAGAGAAUCUUUAGAGAAUAUUCUAAAAGAAUAUUUGAAGAAUCUUCCAAUAUAUGUCCAUGACAAUACCACAUGUACCUUAGAAUCUAAAGCCAAUUCUAGUACCAAGGGCACAUUUACCAAGCUUGGUAGAAUUAUUAAAAGAAAAGAUGAAGAUGAAGAUUUUGGAGCCCUCUUUUGCACCAUAUUUUAGUCAAUGAUUUACAGUGCCUAAGAAAAAUGGGUCAUUAUGUUUUAUUUAAGAUAUGCAACUAGUGAAUGUGCUAAUUAUUAGGAAUAAAAGAAUUGGACGUAUAAUAGAUGAAUUUGCUGAGACGUUUACAGGAAGGGCAAUCUAUUCAAUGGGUGAUUUAUAUUUGCACUAUGAUCAAUUUCAACUUAUAAAAAGAAAUAGAGAUAUGACAAUGAUGAGAAUACUACUUGGAUUAGUUAGAAUGUGUACUCUUCCUCAAGGCGCAACCAACUUAGUUGUGCAUAUGAUGAACGAGAUGAAUAAGGUAUCGAGAGAUUUUAUUCUUGAAAAGACUAUACCUUUUUUAGAUGAUGUUCUUAUAAAAGGAUGUAAAGAAGAAGACAAGGAUGAAACUUUAGAUAAGAGGGGAUGUUGCAAGUAUGUUGUUGAUCAUAUACAAGAUUAUAAAUAAAUAUUGACUCGGCUUGGAGAAAUUUAUCUUAUAUUAUCGGAUAUAAAAUCUAUAUUUGGAGUACAAGAAGUUGUGAUUGUUGGACAUUUGUGUAGAUUUUAUUGAAGAAAAUCAGAUCCGACUAAGAUUGAUGCGAUUGAGAGAAUGAAACAAGAUUGUAGUUCUUUAACAGAUGUUCACAAGUUUUUAGAUGCAUGUGUAUUUUAUCGUAUUUGGAUUCCUCAUUAUGCUCACAUAGCAGAUCCAUUGUAGGAACUGUUACGCAUGGGCUAUUGAUUUAAAUGGGAAGAAAAGCAUGUUAAAGUAGUGCAAAGAUUAAAGAAGUUAUUGAUAUUGCCUACAGUGUUGAGAAAGGUUGAUUAUAAGUGCAAUAGAUUAGUGAUUCUUACUGUGGAUACUAGUCUAAUUACUAUUGGAUGGACUGUAGGUCAAAAUGACUCGAAUGGACACACAUUUGUAGUACAAUUUAGAGUUAAGGUUUUAAGUACUCACCAACGUGCAUAUUCAUAAGUAAAAAAAGAAACUAUAGGGAGUUGUUUCAAUUAUGAAAGUUGAAAAAGAUUAUUUGAUUAGAGCUAUGGUGGUAAUUGAAACAGAUUGUUUGCCUUUACUUGGAAUGAUUACGAAUUAUACAACAUCAGAUAUCACAAUGUUGAGAUAGAUUGCUUAUAUCAAAUCACUAAAUCUAAAAUUUAGAUAUGUUGCAAGGAAAGACAAUCUAGUAGAAAAUGUAUUAUCUCAAGUAGUAUAUGAAAGAAAAGAUGAGAUGAUUGAAGAUAUUGAUGAUGUUGGAACAAAAUUCUAUUCAGUAUCAAAUCUUAAUAAGGAAGACAAGAUGUUUUUUGAAGAGUAUUAUGAAAGAGAAUUAUUAAAAAUUGGUCUUUAUUUGAAUAUCUUGACUAAAUAAGAGAAUUGGGUUUAAAUUAUUAAAGUAUAUAAAUAAAAUCUUGAAAAAAUGAGAGCCAAUCUAAGAGAAAAAAAUUGGUUGCUUGUUAUAGUCACUACCCUCAAAACCUCUAUUUAUAAAUUGGCUUGGAUCUCCAUCAUCACAACUCUUCUUCUUCUUACAUAAUAAAGCUUAUUGAAAAGCUAACAAUGAAUUCUAGUUUUUCAAAAUUUUUAGAAUAAAGAAAAGAAAAUCUAAUAAAUGGCAUAGAAAGUAUCAAAUAAGUCUUGAAUUCUACUACCCAAAAACUCUAGUAAUUUUUCUCCCACAAAUUUUCUUGAAUCUCCUUUAUCAUAGUUCUUCUUCUUACAUAAAAUAUCUCAUUGAAAAACUAAUAACAAGAUCCAACUUUUGACAAAAUCUUAGAAUAAGAAGAAAAAAAUAUAGAACCGGCAUAGAAAUCCCUAUCCAAUCUUGAAUCUUAUCACUCAAAAAUUCUAGUAACCCUCAUUUUUAUAAAUUUGUAUGGAUUUCUUUUUUCAUAGCUUUAUUUCUUGUUUGCUAUAGCUUGUUGAAAAGCUAACAAUGUGAUCUAAUUUCUUUUAAAAUUUCAGAAUAAAAAGAUGAAAAUUCCAUAAGUGGCUUUUGAAAUUUCAAAUCAGGCUUGAAUCUUGCCCUUCUCCAAAAAUUUCCAGCAACCCCUCUUUUCCUUCCUUUCAAUCUAUAACCCUCAAAAAUUAAAAUCUUUCAUGCAAAAAAUCCCUAUUCCUAAUCUUCUCCUAAUAUCCAUUUUGAACCAUUAUAGACCUAGAUAUCUAUCCUAAAUGACAAUAUCUUCAAGCUCGAAUAAUCUAUUCAAAAAAAUAAUUUCAUAUUCUAAACUCUAUUCAAAUUUUUAAAUAUAUUAGUAUUGUAUUCCUUCUAUCUCUUCUACAAGUAAAAUUAAUUAUUUUCUAAAUAUCUUUGAUACACUUAAAUUGAGUGCAUCAUGACACUUAUCUCUUUCAGACCUAUACAUAUCUUUGUAUGUAUCAAAGAAUUUGAUGACAAUAUUUCCAUCAUUAAAAUGAAUCAUUAGGAGCCAUAUCACUUUUCAAUUGUUGAUUAAAGUAUUUAGGUUCAAAAACCUCUAAAUCUUCCACAUAUUUCAUUCCAUCUCAUCACUUGAAGACUUUAAUUUGCUUUCUUACAAUCCUUAUCUUCAGUAGUGUUCUAUCUAACUUUCAAAGAGAAUAAGUUGUAUUUUUAUGCACUUCAACUACCACAUAGGGUCCAAACCAACGUCGUGCAAACUUACAAAGAGUAGAAUAUUGGUGUAUCAAAUUACUAUCAUAAAUUAAAAUCCAAUCACCAUCUUUAAUUGACUUAGGCAUCAAUUGAUGAGUUUUAUUGAACUUUUCUUUGUUGUUCAACUUUACUCCCUAAAGCCUCUAUAUAACAAUUUAAUGAUCCUUAAGUAAUCUCUCUAAUUAAUAAAUUCAAAGCUCCAACAAUCUCUUCCUAUCAAUGCUAUCUAUUCAAGAAAAAAAUAAUUAAGAAGGAAUAGAAUCUUUUGUAGGCAUUAAAGGCUUUUGCUCCAAUAUCAAUUCUAUUGACAUAUUAACUAGUGAAUAUUCUAUAAGUAUUUCUAUCUAUUCAUAAAGUAAAUAACAAAAGCUUAAGCCACAACCUUGAUUGAUUCUUAUAUUCUUUGAUUAAAGCUUGAAUGAUUAGAGGGUGCCUCUUUUCACUUUUACCAUUAGCUUUGGGAUUAUAAAAAGUGGUCAAUUUUAAUUGCAUUCUAUAUCUUGUGAAAAAAUCAAGUGCCUCUAUUAUAUCAAGUUCACCUCGAUCUACUCUCAUUCUCCCAAUGCUUCUAUAGCAAUAUGUAAUAUCUUCAAAAAUAAAUCGAUAUACUACCAUUGUAGACUUUGACUUUAAUGUUCUUCUUUCUACAUAAUUAGAAAAUCCCUUUCUUGUUGUGAUUGUCAUUUUACUUAUUCUACAAUUUCUUUCAGAAUAAACAUAUAUAGAAGGAUUUGAAUACAAGAAAAGAUUAAGUGCAUGAGUUUUAUUUGUUAGGGUCAUACAAUUAAUCAUAUUUUGAACCACUAAAACACCAAGAAACACUAUAAUGCUUUCUUCUAGUAACAAUAUUCCUUCAACAACUAAUAACAAUAGUGUACAAUCCUGCACUCUCAAAAGUCCGCUCAAAAUAUAAUAAUUUUAUCUAACACCAAAAAUAACAGACUUCACUCCAACUAAUUUGAAUUCACAUAAUUUUUAUAAUCACAGACUUCCUUUAUCAAAACACAUACAACUCUCAAUAAACAACAAUCAUAAUCUGCUAAUAACUCCUCAUAUAAUUAAUCACUCACUGUUCUAAUUACAUAAUCAAUAACUCAUAAAUCAAUCUCUGAUUUAUUCUACAGAUUCACUUCUCAGUAUUCAAAAAUUAUCUAUUACUUUUUAACAACAAAGAAGUAAAGAAACAAAAAGGUAGCACCAAGCUUACCCUGGCUCACGACUAUCAUAGUCUAGCACUCAGACUAACUUCUACAACUCCUAUAUACUUACUUUCUAUUCUCAUAUUCUAACCAUAAUCAUAUAAUUAAUCGCUUUUAAUAACUAAGUUAACCAUCCGUCCUCCUGAACUGACUAUUUUAUGGGCUAUUAGUCUAUUUUAUCAAUAUCUUACAGAAAUGAACUAAUAUCUAUUCUACACUUGCCAAAAUUAAAUACUUCAUAUUCUAAAGUUCCAUUGAUAUGGCAACUAAAUCAAUCAUCCAUUGAAAAUAAAUAGCAAGUAGAUAGGUAGGGCAUAAACCAUCUCUAUAUCUCACCUUUGAUUGUAAUUGAUACUUUUUACAAGAACUCAUAAAUUCUUCCAUAUUCUUGUAUAAGCCCUACUAUCAAUAUCACUCCUUGAUCUUAGUAUAGGUAGUUCAAAUUCUUCUAUACCUAGCCCAUAAUGUAUCAUGAAAUUCACCUAAUACCUUAUGUUUGGUCUUUAAAUCAUCCACUACUAUCAAUGGCAUACCAUCUCUUCUCUUUGGUUUCUUCCAUAAGAAUCCAUCAUAUAAAAAGUAAUCAUAGGAUUAAUACCUAAUAUUCUUAAAAUUCUUAUCCAACCAAUUUUCUUGCCUCUUUACAGUGCUCAAAUACAAACCAAUGUCUUUUAACUUUGCUUUAUACAAAUUAAUUGUGAAAGAUAAAACUUCAUCACCUUGAUUUCCUCUACUUGUAGUAAAUGCAAAGCCUUAGAUCAAGUCUCCAUCUUCUUUAUGUGCAAGUAUUUCUUAAUCUUUUAAAUACCUAGCCUUAGAUAAUGAUAAAGUCAAUGUUGGACAAAUAAAAUAUAUUAUCUAACAUAAGUUGUUAAUGAUUAAAAGGUAACAAAAGAUAAUAGAAAAGUUAUCAAGGUGGCGGCUAAGGUUUAUAAUGGUGGCUAAGUUAAGUCGAAUCUAGGAUUCAAUUGAAUGAAGUAAGGAUGAAUAAGAAUGAAGUGAAGCCACAAUGGAUGUAAACUCUACUUAUAAGUAAAAGGUAUUGGAAGUGGGAAGUAUCUCAUUCCAUACUUCUUUUGUGUCUAACCUUAUUGAUUUCUACUUACUUAUGUCUUGCUUAUUGUAUUUCUUCAAUAAGUUAUGGAUCCGUAGAUACUUGAUUGUGUUUCUCAAGUAAGUUGAAGUUAUUUGCUAGUUGUUACUCUUGUGUAGAAUAGAUCUUAUGGUGUUUGAUAAUAUUAGGAUUUAAAUGAUCUAAUUUUAUAUUUUGGCUUAUAAAGAUUCUAAUUUGGAUCUUAUAGAUCCCUAAUAUCUAUUUGAAGGUUUUUAAUUCCUAGGAUUGAGUGAUUAAGACCUUAUACAAAGACCUUGAUAGUAUCUUUGGUGUUGUGGAAGUUUUAGUAAGAAAGUGAGUUUUAUGAGUUAAUAAAAAACUUGAUGGUGAGGCUAAUAAGAGUCCACAUACUAGUUAAAAGCUUUGAAAGUUGAGUUGAGAGUGUUUGAAAUGAAAAAACACUCAUUUGUUCAAAAGAAGGUAUUUUGAGAUUUUACUAGUGUAAAAUUGUAUUGGUAAUUUUAAGCACAUUGAUACUUCUUUUUUUGAUAUUUUUUGAUAAACAUAUUUUUAGACGUGGCUUUUAGUGAGGGUGAAGGUUUGAGAGUGAUUGAAAAGUUUAAAGGUAAUAAUUUCAACCAUUGGAAGGUAAAAAUGGAACUUUAGUUGGCAUCUUGAGACCUUUGAGACAUUAUAGAUAAAAGUGAAGAGCCUCCAAGCAUGCAUGUUGAUGCUAAAUAGAGGAAGGACUUUACUAGAUGAGAAAAAAAGACUUUUGGUAUGAUUUCUAUUAAUUUGGAUGAAGCCAACUUUUCUCACAUCAUCUCUUGUAAAAAACUAGCAAAAACAUAGAAGACCCUUUGCAAUAUAUAUGGAAGUAAGAACUUAUCCAAUAUCAUCUUCACAAGGAAGAAAUUCUUCACUUGCAGGAUAGAAGAAGGUGAUGACAUCAUGGCUCAUAUCAAUAAAAUAAAGGCCCUUCCUAAUCAACUUAUAAUUGUUGACAAGCAUUUAGAAGAGAGUGAUAUUGUCAUGACCUUGCUUAUGAGCCUUAUCAAUGUCGGAGUAGAGAGAGUUUGCUUCAAGAAAAUGUUGGACUUUUGGCUAUCACUAAUUGUUCAAUCAAGCUUCAAAAUAAGAAAAGCCCUAAGUUUAUAUAUAAAUUUUUUCUUUUGAGCAAUUACACCAAAUACACAAGCCUCAAGUAACCAACAACAUCCAAAAUAUGAUAAAAUCCUCUAAAACCUUAUACAUCCUUAUGUGGAAAUUUUUCCAAACUUCAAUAGCUCAUAUCUCCUAAUCCGACCGUCCAAACAAACUCAAAUUGUACAUGAAGUACUGAUGUAUUCUUAUUAACUUUUACAACAAAUUUCAACUGCAAAUUCAUUGCGGAUCUUGAGAUAUCUUAAAAACCCUAACAGUCGCUUCAAACCCUUGUCUUUAUACAUGUGCAUGAAAUUUUCUUUAUAUCUCACAAAAUAUAAGCUCAAAUACCACAAAAUUUAUAUAUAUAUAUAUAGCUUUUUAACACAAAAUUUUACAUUCUCUAAAAAGUUUGAGCCAAAAAUUUGUCCAAAAACUUAAGUUAUGGCUCCAACCAUUACUAUAAACAAAACCGCUCACUCACUAUCUUUGAUUUGGAAGUGCCGCCUUCAACUCUUUAUAACUCCUUCACAUGAACUUUAAAAGCAAUAAUUUUUUCAUGAAAGAUGUAGGCCUUAAAAUCACUAUUCCAUUUGUACCUUCCGAUCUUCAAAAGCUAUUGUACAACUCCUCAUAUCCUCAAAAGAGUAACAGUAUAUCUUAAAUUAAUACCUUAACUUCAAACGGCUACAACUUCUUCAUUCUAACUCCAAAUUCUCUAAUAUUUACAUACAAAUUGUACCUCAAAUCCUAAACUUUAUAAUCCUAGCUUUGAAUCUCCAAAUGCCUUCUUUGAAGUUACCGAAAUCCUUGUUAAGAUCACGGACAGCCUUCUCUAAGUCCAUUGGACAUGGUAUUUGACUAAUAGGGAUAAAGUUCUCCAUUCCUUGCCUUCAUCCGACCAUGCAUUGCUUUCAUCCCUCCCAAUUAGCCUCCUACUAGUUUAAAUUUUCAUCCUUAGGCUUCUACCUUCUCUCAAGGCUUCAUACUAAAUAUUUAGGUCCUUUAUUUUUAUUUUUUUAAUGUCAAAAUCAAAAUAAGUAAAGAAACAAAAUAAAGUUUCUUAUACCAACUCCUUUUAAUUUAAUCUACUAGCCACUCUAACACACAUCUAGAUUUAUUAAUAUAUAAUAUUUUUUAACUAAUUUUUAUAUACUAUAAGCAUUUACAGUAUGACAUCGAGUCCUAAAACUACCUCAUUAUGGCAUUGGAAUCCAUUAAACUAAAAGAGAUCAUAAUGAAUUAUGUGAUGGCAAGACUUGCUCAUGAAGUGACCAAGAGGAAAGAAAAAGAGCCUCAAAGUGAGGAUUUGGCUCUCCUUUCAAGAUAAGGCAAGGAGAGUUAUUCUAAUCAAUGUGACAAUGCAAGAACUUGCUUCAUUUACAGAAAACCAUGUCAUUCACUAGAAAUUACUACAAGGCUAAGAAAGGAGAUAGAAAAAGUAUAAACAGUGCUCUUAAUGAAUAUGGAGGUGAUGAUUAUGCAUUCAUGGCAAGUGAAGGUACUUCUUUGGUUACCAUAUCUAAGUGGAUUGUUGAUUCGGGUGCCACUAAUACAUGACUCCAUAUAAGUAUUCAUUUGAUACUUAUGAAGAAAUUUCAGCAACAAAUAUACUCAUAGGAGACAAUGACAUAGUAGAAUCUAUUGUAGUAGAAAUUGUUGUAAAAGGCCAAACUAAGAAGAUCAGAUUGAAAGACAUCUUACAUAUACCAAAGAUGAAGAAAAUCUCUUCUCGGUGAGUAAAAUUAUUUCAUAUGGUUAUAAAGUCCAAUUUGAUAAGAAUGGAUGUUUUGUGAAGACAUUGGAAGGAAAUGAUGUUGCAAAAGGCUUUAGAGAUGGCAACAUCUACUUCAUCAAGUGUAAGAAGGUGAAUGGAGUUGAAGUGGCAUCAUUUGUUGAAUUGCCUCAAAAUCAAGACAAGUUUGGCAUUUGGCAUUGACGCCUUGGUCAUUUGAAUGCCAAUAGCAUGAAGGAGCUCCAAUCCAUAGUAAGUGGCUUAGAUCUUGGUCAUAAAAGCCACAAUGAUAUGUGUGGUUAUCGUUUUACUUAUUCCGAAAGAAACUUUCCACAAUAAAUCCGUAUAGGGUGAUUCGAAUAUAAGAAAAGACCAUAUAUAUGAGCUCCAAUUGUUAAGGUCACGCAAUUAACUGCUACUAUUGAAUGCUUACCAUACCAAAGAAUACUUAACUUUUCUUCCUACAAUCCACUCUCUCAUACCAAUACAAUAACAUCCACGACAACAAUUUCAGUACCCUGUGUAAUUCACGAACACACAAGCAUAUCCCAAAUCCUAGAAUGAACAACUUCUAAUCCACAAAAUCUGAUCAAGACAAUUCCUUCGAUUAUAAUUCCUCUCCACUGAAUUUACAACCUUGCGAUAAACAGUGACUGGAAACUUCCAUACAUCUUCAAUCUUUCACAAUAAUUGAUAAACAGUGAUCCAUAAAUAACUUCAUAAAUCAAAUAUUAAUUCAUUAAAUCAAUUUUCUUCACUAGAAUCAACACUAACAUAAAAGAGACAAGAAAACUAAGAAGAAGAGAUAGCACCAAGCUUAUCCCUGGCUCAGUACUAUCGUAGUCUGGCAUCUUAAUUAACUUCUACAAUUCCUAUAUACUUUCUCCUAAUUCUUUAGAUUCUAAUCAUAAUUCUAUAAUUAAUCACUUUUAAGAACUAAAUCACUCAUUCGUCCUCUUGAAUUUCUUAUUAUAUGGACUAUUAAUAUAUUUUAUCAAUAUCUUUUAAAAAUGAAUUAAUAUCUAUUCUACAAUAUGGCACUUGCUUGUGAAGGUUGUAUUCAAAACAAACAACAAAAGGCUACAUUUCUAAAUGGAGUUGCAAUACGUGCAACCAAAUUGUUGGAGAUAGUCCAUUCUAAUAUUUGUGGACCUAUGAGGAUGCCAUCAAUAGGAGGUGCAAGAAACUUUGUUACAUUCAUUGAUGAUUUUUCAAGGAAGGUGUAGAUUUUCAUCUUCAAAGCAAAGAGUGAGUAUUUCACAAGGUUUAAGGAGUUUAAGGCACUUGUGGAGAAGCAAUGUAAGUACAAAAUGAAGAUAUUGCAUACGAAAAAUGGAAGUGAGUAUAUAUUAAAGCAGUUCGAUGAUUUCUUGAAGAUGCAUGGUAUUGCAAGACAAACCUCUAUUCCUUAUACUCUACAACAAAAUAGAGUUGCUAAAAGAGAAAAUCAAACUAUUGUGGAAAUGGCAAGGAGUAUGCUACAUGCACAAAACCUUGGAUUUGAGUAUUGGACAAAAGCUAUGAUAAUAGCAGUUUAUAGAAGGAAUAGGUGUCCUACAAGUGCACUUACAUAAAAAACUCCUGAAGAAGCUUAGAGUGGAAAGAAACCUUGUGUUUCACUCAUUAGGACUUUUAAAUGCAUAGCAUAUGCAAAGACACCAAAUUUAUGAGAUCAAAAUUUGAUGCAAAAGUUUCAAAAGGUUUGUUGGUUGGAUAUUGUGAAAGUACAAAGGCUUAUAGGCUCAUGUAUUUAGAGACCAAAAAGAUCAUCAAAAGUCGUGAUGUUCAAUUUUUGGAGCACAAAAGUGCUUGUGAGUACUUGGAGAUGUGUCUAAGUAGGAGUAAUAGUGUGUUCAUGGACACCUCUUCAAUUUCAACAAAGAAGGAAGAAGAUGAAGAUAAUGAUAGUUGUAAAGGUAGAAAUGAAGAUGAAGAGACAAAGAAGGUGGAGAAUAAGGCCUUUAAAAAUGCUAAGGCUAGCAAUGAAGAGCAUAAAGAUGUUCAUGAUGAUAGUGAUGAGGAUUAUCAAUCUUUGAGUGAGAAAAGACUAUCUACAAAAGAAAAGAAGGUUGGAGGAGACCAUAGAAUGCAACAAAUUGAGUCUUCUUCAAAUGAAAGGAGUUAUUCUUUAAGAGAUAAAAAACAAUGUGACAAAUGGUGGAAGAAUCACAUCUUUCGUCAAAUAAGUCAAGAACAUGCCAAUGUUGUACUUUUUACUGAUCUAUUGAGUUUGUGUGAUGUAAUGAAGUCCACAAAUGCUUUGAAGUGAGAGAAAGCCAUCGAAGAAGAAUAUCAAUCACUCAUGGAUAAUAGAACAUGAGAAUUGAUUCAACUUCCACCAAAUCAAACUUCAAUUAGUUGUAUGUGGGUGUUUAAAAUAAAGAAGGAUACAAUGGAUAAUAUUAUGAGGUAUAAUACAAGAUUGGUUGCAAAAGGCUACUCACAAGUUUUUGGUGUUGAUUUCAAUGAGACAUUUGUUCUCGUGGCCAAAUUCAUGACCAUUAGAACCAUUGUGGCAAUUGAGAUAACAAUGGACUUAGAGAAGCAUCAAAUAGAUUUGAAGACUGCUUUUUUGAAUGAAAAGUUGGAAGAAGACAUCUAUAUGGAUCAAUUUCAAGGAUUUUUUGAAGAAGGCAAGCAAAGCCUUAUUUGUAAGUUGAAGAAAUCUUUUUAUGGACUCAAGCAAUCACUAAGAAUAUGGUACCAACGCAUCGAUACAUUUUUUGUGAAUGAAGAAUUUGUUAGAAGUGAAACUGAUCAUUCCAUAUAUGAAAUACAAUCAAAAGUCUUCUUAGUGAUUGUUAUUCUUUAUGUCGAUGAUUUAAUCAUCUUGAUUAACACCUUGAAAAAGAUGGAUUGGUUGAAGGCAAAGGUAGCAAAAGAAUUUGAGAUGAGUGAUUUGGGAGAGUUUCACUAUUACAUAGGAGUAGAGUUUGUGAGAGAUUGAGCUAAGAAGAUCAUUAUAUUGAGCCAAAAGAAGUAUAUUGAAGAAGUGUUGAAAUGAUUCAAUAUAGAAGAGUGCAAGCCUAUUGGAACACCAUUGGAGGCCAAUAUAAAGUUGAUGAAAUUCAUGGAUAAGGAGUUUGCUGAAGUUGAAGAUGAAUUAAAAGAUGUUCUAUACAAGGUAGGAGUAGGCUCAUUUAUAUAUGCAAUGGUUGGCACAAGGAUGGAUCUUGUAUAUGCAAUGAGUGUUGUCAAUCAAGACAUAUCAAAGGCUAAACCAAUCCAUUGGGCAACCAUUAAGAGGAUCUUGAGGUACUUAGAAGACACUUUAAACUUCAAAUUAAGCCUUAGAGGUGAUAAUAUUGCAUUGUAUGGUCAUUGUGAUGCAGAUUGGGUUGGAAAUGCAAACAAUAGAAGGUCAACAAUGGGAUAUAUAUUCUUUAUUGAAGUAGGAGUAAUUUCAUGGAAUUGCAAGAGACAACCAAUAAUUGCAAGGUCUAGAAUAGAGGUGGAGUAUAUAGCAGUAAGUCAUGGUGCAAUAGAGGCAAUAUGGCUAAGAUAAGUUUUAGAAGACAUUUGACUUGUGCAAUUGGAAGCAACUCUAAUGAAGUGUGACAAUCAAGGAUGGCUUACCUUUGUAAAGAUUCCAAAAUAUCAUUCAAGGAUAAAGCAUAUUGACAUUCAAUAUCACUUCAUAUAAAAAAAGAUUGAAAUGGGAGUAAUUGACAUAACGUAUUAUGUUAUGGAAGACAUGCUUGCUAAUUGUCACGGACACAAAAUACAGACUUGAAAUCUAACAAGAAGUUCAAGAAGAAGUGGCAGAACUAGAUUAAACAGAUGAGUACAAGAACAACACCAAAAAGGUGAGCUAAAACUCCAAGAGAUGUGUUGUCGAGAUUGAAGAACUCUUCAGCCUCGACUCCUAUAUAUACUACUGGCCUAUGGUUCUAAGGAAGCGCAUCAAGAAGCUUCCCAAGAACUAUGAAGCUUCUCGAGCAACUACCCAAGAGCUAGGAAGCUUCUCAAAUAACUUCCUAGAAUCUACUAGAAUAUUCUAAGAAUCUUCUAGAGCCUUCUAAGGGAAUCUUUAGGGAAUCGUCAAAGAAUCUUUAGGGAAUCUUUGAAGAAUAUUCUAAGAGAAUAUUCAAGGAAUCUUUUGGAAGUUUCUAGAGACUUCUUUCUAGAAGGUUCUAGAAACUUGUCUCUAGAAAGGUCUAAGGACUAUGUCCCUAACAUCACCUCCUCCUUUAGCUUCGAGGUCUCCGAGAAGCAAUGUUAUCGUCAGUCAAUACCAACGCAAGAAAAUGAAGAUCUGUCGCAUAACCUCUGCUAUGAACUCCAAUUGUUGUUCACGAGGCAAGUGAUUCAAUGGUCCUUGAAGCCAACGGUAGUGGCCCACGCCUUCAACUUCUGACCAAGCAUGAACCUCCGUGUCUUCAUUGUGAAAUUGUCCUGCAAACACUCCUUCUGGCUGACCAUUGUAUGCAGGCUCGACCUCAAAUACAAUCACCAGCGAUCUGUUGCUCGGAAUCCUUCGACGUCGUCGUGGUGCAGGCGGUUCUUCAUCUCGCGGUCGUCUUCAUGAGCUAGUUGUUUGAGAUGACAUGACAAGUGUAGUACCUUGGCUAUCCAUAUUCAAAGGCUAAAACAAUAAGAACAAACUUGGGCUACUAACAAAGUUCUACGCUAUCUUGGAGAGAAUGACUACAUCAACUAUGGAUUUUGGUGGUGCUCUCUCCUCUUUUCUGUUUUCUGGAUGAGCAAGCUUCAGUAAGAAGCUAUCGUCGAACCGGCUUGGGUUUCUCAGGAUAUCAUCGAUGAAACUCCUGUACCUUUUGCGGCGCAUUCGCGAGAUUUUUGGUCGGCUCCCAUGUUCGUUCAUUAAUAUCGUAACCGCUCCAAUGCACAAAGUAUUCUAAUUUACCCUGUCUUUGCCGUGAAUCCAAGACCUUUUCCACCUCGUAUUCUUCAUGGUUCUCUAUUUCUAUGCUAGGUGGUGGACAUUGUACUCUUCCAGGAAAAGACGAUUCUCGAUAAGGCUCCAACAAAGAAACAUGAAAGACAGGAUGUACCUUCAUAGUAGCUGGUAACUCCAGACGAUACGCUACAGGAUUGAUCUGCUUCUGGAUAACAAAUGGUCCCAAUCUCCGAUAGUCCAAUUUGUCACAUGGCCGCUUGGUCUUAAUAUUUCGUCGAAGCAGCCAAACUUUGUCUCCAAUCGUGAAUUUAGGUGCCUGAUUCCGAAAUUUGUCCGCGGACGCCUUGUAAGAUUCUUGGGCAGUUUACAAUUGAAGCUUCAAUAUAGUUUGAAGUUGCGAAAGCUCCUUCACCAAUCCUUCAGCUGCCGGAUUGUUAAUCGUUGACGAACUCCAUAAGUCAAGCUUCGGAUGGUAUCCAUAAUUAGAAAAGAAUGGCGUUUGUUGAGUUGACGCAUGAAGGGUGUUGUUAUAUGCAAACUCGGCUAGCGGUAGAUAUGCGGCCCAAUCAUCUUGUUGAUAGUUGAUGGUGCAACGUAAAUAUUGCUCUAAAACUUGAUUCACUCGUUCUGUUUGGCUGUCCGUUUGAGGAUGAAAUGCUGAAGAAAGCUUGAUAUCCACCUUCAAUAUCUCAAAAAGAGAUUUCCAAAACUUUGACACAAACUGGGUUCCUCGAUCCGAUACGAUAUCAUCUGGUAGACCAUGAUAUCGAUACACAUUAUCAAGAAAGAGUCUUGCUGUGUCUUCGCUUGACGAUGUCUUCUUGCAAGGGACAAAAUGUGCCAUCUUUGUAAGCCGAUCUACGACAACAAAAAUGCUGUCAAAUGAAUUCGAUGGUGGUAGAUCCGUAAUAAAGUCCAUGGAAACCGAAGACCAUGGUCGGCGCGGAAUAGGCAAUGGUUGUAGAAGUCCAUAAGGCCGAUGUCGAGGGUUUUUGGAUCUUGAACAAAUGUCACAAGAUACAACAAAAUCUUUCACAUCCUUCCACAUUUGAGGCCACCAGAAAUCGCGGGAAAUAAGUUCCAAGGUCUUAUUGAAUCCAAAAUGUCCCGCAGCUGGAAAGUCAUGACGAGAUUGAAGAACUCGGAGUCGUGUUGGCCCUUUUGGGAUAUACAACCGCUCUUCGAAAUAUACUAGAUCUCCUUCCAUCUUGAAUUUAUCAUCACUAGCAUGUUGCUUGAUAUCAAGGGCUAGAGAAUCUUCAAUGGUUGCGGCCCGUACCUGGUCGAGGAAGUCAGCAUCAAUUGGUACAAUAGCUGCGUUGAGUCGAAAUUUCUCUAGCUUCAACAAUGUCGUGCACUGUUGAUCAAAUGAUGCAUCUCCAGCCUUUGGCGCGAGAUAUGAUCUCCUUGAUAAUGCAUCGGACAACCCUUGUUGCUUCCCAGGCCGAUAAGUAAUAACAAAGUCGAACCUGGAUAGCGACAUACUCCACCGAGCUUGACGCCGAUUCAAAACCCGAGCCGACAUAAAAUACUCCAAAUUCUUGUGAUCCGUAUAUACGGUCACUGGAUGUGCAGUUCCUUCGAGAAAGUGGCGCCACUCUUGGAAAGAAUCUACUAUAGCAAGGAGUUCCUUAUCGUGGAUCUCAUAGUUGAUCUCAGCAGCAGAGAAUUUUCGAGAAUAGAACGCAACUGGAUGGAGCUUCUCAUCUACGCCCAUCUGUGAAAGUACAGCUCCCAAAGCAAAAUCCGAAGCAUCUGUCUCCAAAUAAAAGGCCUUUGUAAAGUUCGGAUGUACCAAGAUUGGAGUUGUAGUAAAUACCAUCUUCAAAUCUUGGAAUGCUUUUUCUGCGAUAGGUCCCCAUUCGAGCUUGUCCUUGCACGUUAACCGAGUGAGGGGGGCAGCAACUUGAGAAUAAUUCUUGAUGAAGAUCCGAUAGUAGUUAGCAAAUCCAAGAAAACAUUGUACAUCCCUAACCGUCUUCGAAACUUCCCAAGACAUGAUUGCUUCUACCUUCUUUGGAUCCAUCUUCAAUCCUUCCGUAGUCGCGAUGAAUCCCAAAAACUCCAUCUCAGUUUGGUGAAAUAAGCACUUCUCCAAUUUGGCAUAGAGUCCUCGCUCCCGUAGUUUUUUGAGUACCAGACGAACGUGCUUCUCAUGUUCUUCUUCGUUCUUAGAAAAUAUCAAAAUAUCAUCUAGAUAGAUGACAACAAAAUUGUCUAGAUGCUCUCGAAAGAUGUCAUUCAUCAUGUGUUGAAAGACCGCUGGAGCAUUAGUAAGACCAAAUGGCAUGACAUUGUAUUCAAAAUGGCCAUACCUUGUUCGAAAAGCUGUCUUCCAUUCAUCUCCUUCCUUGAUUCGCACAAGGUUGUAAGCUCCCCUUAGGUCAAUCUUUGUAAAGAUCCUUGCACGCCCAAGUUGUUCUAGAAGACCAGAGAUCAAAGGCAGUGGGUAGCGAUUCUUUUUUGUCACCUUGUUGAGACCUCGAUAGUCCACGUACAUCCGUAGUGAGCCAUCUUUCUUCUUCACAAAUAAGAUUGGUGCCCCAGCUGGCGACUUCAAAUGACGGAUGAAGUUCUUGGCUAGAUUCUCGUCAAUAUACUUCCGCAACUCAGUCAACUCUGUCUGCGACAAAUUGUAGAUUGGUCCAAAAGGUGGUUGUGCUCCUUCUUGCAAUUCAAUGGCACAGUCAUAGGGUCGAUGCUUUGGCAGCAUUUCAGCAUUCUUCUUUUCAAAGACAUCUUUGAAUUCUUCAUACUGCUUUGGAAUAACCUAAGUCGGAGUUGCAUCUUCUCGAGUCGGAGUUGCAAAGAUGACAAGAGGUGUAUUUUGCUUGGCUUCCUUCAUGAAAGCCCUUGCACCUAUAAACAAGGAUUUGUUUCUAGACAUUGUCUUGGCAGAUUCCACCUUCAAGGAGUUUGUUGGAAAUGUCACUUUCCGCAACUUCCAAUCUAUCAAUGGAUUAUAUCUAUCAAGCCAAGAUAGUCCCAAAAUGAUAGGACAUGAAGGGGUCUUGAUAACAUUAAACACAAUAUUGCUCUCAUGGUUUUCAAGACGUACCUUCAAUGGUUUAGUUUCAUGGAUAACAUUGCCCGAAGACAAUGGUCGUCCAUCUAUGACUUCUACAUGGACAGGCUUAAGUUUCUUUACAAGAGAAAUAUUGUGAAGCUUGGCAAACUCUUCAUCUAUAAAGCAAGCAGAUGCACCCGAGUCUAAUAAAGCAUCGACUUGUAGUUCUUGAAUACCCAGAUGUAAAGGUACCAUAAAACAAUCUGAAGGUUGAGCUGAGAGAAAGGGACCUUGAUUAAUUUUGGAUGUUGAGAUGUCCAGCCGCACGGUCCCUAUUGUGGCUGGGCGUCCUUGUUUUCCUGCAUGCUUGUACUCCUGAGUCUUGUUGUUUGAGGCUUCUGUUUCUUCCGACAAUCUACAACUUUAUGGCCCGCUUCUCCGCAAUAUAAACACAAGUUUUGUUCUAACCGUCGCUUCAUUUCCUCAGCUGUGAGGGGUUUGAAACGUACCGCAUCAAUUUGCAUGGGUUCAGGAUCUAUGGAGUGAUUCUCUGGACCUUUUGAAAAUGUAGCAAAUGCUCCAUCAUUUCUCCAGCCUGAUCGUCUUUCUUAUCGUAAUUCAAAGAGGCGAUUGUCACAAAUAAUUGCCUGAGAUAUAAGUUCUUCUAAAGUAUCCGCCUUAGGCAUGGUGAUCAAUAAGUUCUUGACAUCAUCUCUCAGUCCAUAUCAAAAUCAUGUCAUGAACGCCUUAUCAUUCCAAUCAAGAUCACAUAUAAGCUGUUGAAAUUCUGCAGCAUAGAUUGCAGCAGAACGUGAUCCUUGUCGCAGAUUUUGUAUCUUUCUUUCAGCCACUCUUUCUCGAUCGCUAUCUCCAAACGCAGCAGUAAGUCUCUCUAUGAAAGCCUCUAGGUCGUACAAUAUUGGAGAAUCCUUCUCCAAUAGUGGAGCAAACCAAGAGCGAGCAUUUCCUGAUAGAAGAGUACCUAUGAAAGCAACCUGGGUAAAUCCAUUCGGAUAACGAGAAGGGUAUAGGCGUAGGUAAAGCCGUACUUGUUGCACAAAACCUCGAAAGUUGGCUCUUGUUCCGUCAAACUUGUUUGGCAUACUCGCUUUUGGUUCUUUCGUACUAAUCCUUGAAGUAUCUAUAAGGGUCGUAUGUGACACAUGUCUUGCUUCUCUCAGUCGAAUAAUCUCUUGUUGUAGGCUAUGAAUUUUGCGUCUAACUUCUUCGGUCACUAGAUCAAUUUGAGGUUCUUUACUUGGAUUGUGAAGAAAUGCAAUCUCCUUUCGUACACUAUUCAUAAGAGCUUGAAGAUCUGCAAGAGUUGCCACUCUAUUGUCUACUUGUAGAGAUGCACUGUCUAUGACCUGGUCUACUUCCAUAUUUAGAGAAUAGAUGGAUUAAAAUUUUGAGAGAAGAAGAAAUUGCUAAGUCUCUUGGAGAAAAUUAUAGCACUACCUAUCACUAAAACCUACUCGGAGAAAAGGAAAAAAAAACACUAAACGAUUUCAGUUUUAGAGGAGGGUAAUCCGCAACCUCUAAAAAUGCCUCAAUGCUUUCGAGAAGAGGGGUAAUCCGCACUCUAUCAAGAAGGCAAAGCUCUGAAAUCGAUGUUAACAGUCUUUUCUACUAGCUAUGCUAAACAAAAAGAAGGAAUUAAUAUCAGUCCAAGAGAGGAUAAUCCGCAACCCUUAGAACGCUCAAGUAUCUCCAAGGAAAGCGGUAGUCCACUCUCUGCCUCAAAGAACUAAGCUCUGAUAUUGUGAUUGAGAAAAUAUUAGUUUAGAGGAAGGUAAUCCGCAACCCCUAAAGCGCUAGAAUACCUUCAAGAAGAGGGGUAAUCCGCUCUCAAACAAGAAGGAUUCAGCUCUGAUAUUAAGAUAAAGGUAGUCUCGACAAACUGUCACGGACACAAAAUACAGACUUGAAAUCUAACAAGAAGUUCAAGAAGAAGUGGCAGAACUAGAUUAAACAGAUGAGUACAAGAACAACACCAGAAAGGUGAGCUAAAACUCCAAGAGAUGUAUUGUCGAGACUGAAGAACUCUUCAGCCUCGACUCCUAUAUAUACUACUGGCCUAUGGUUCUAAGGAAGCGCAUCAAGAAGCUUCCCAAGAACUAUGAAGCUUCUUGAGCAACUACCCAAGAGCUAGGAAGCUUCUCAAGUAACUUCCUAGAAUCUACUAGAAUAUUCUAAGAAUCUUCUAGAGCCUUCUAAGGGAAUCUUUAGGAAAUCGUCAAAGAAUCUUUAGUGAAUCUUUGAAGAAUAUUCUAAGAGAAUAUUCAAAGAAUCUUUUGGAAGUUUCUAGAGACUUCUUUCUAGAAGGUUCUAGAAACUUGUCUCUAGAAAGGUCUAAGGACUAUGUCCCUAACACUAAUUAGCUUACAAAAGUAUUGAUAAAGGAUAGACAUUAUAAAUUGAUAAAGGCAUUAGAUUUAGAAGCCUUUAAUCAAUAGCAAAGUAGGAGUGAUAAAAUAAAUGUUGGAUAAAUAAAAGAUAUUACCUAACGUAAUUUACUAAUAGUUAAAAGGCAGCAAAAGGUAAUACAAAAGUAACCAAGGUGGCAACUAGGUUAAGUAGUAGUUAGGAUUUGAAAUGGUAGCUAGGUUAAGUGAAAUCUAAGAUUCAAUUAGAUGAAAUAAAGAUGAAUGAGAAUGAAGUUGAGCCACAAUCAAUGUAAACUCUAUCUAUAAAUAAAGGAUGUUGGAAGUGAGAGGUAUCUCAUUCCAUACUUUUCUUGUAUCUAACCUUGCUGAUUUCUACUUACUUGUGUCUUUCUUAUUGUAUUUCUUCAAUACAUAACAUAUCCGCCAUUGAGUUCUUUUUAUCCAUGACAUUUACAAAAUUAGGAUUUAGAAACUUAAUAAAAGUAAUUUAUUUAAGCAUAGUAAUAUCUAGUAUAAUAUAAUUAGAAAUCAUUCUAAGUAGAAGCAAGCAAAUAGUCUUCAAUACCAUAUGAGUAUCUAUUAAAUAAUAUCUUUUAACUUUUAAUGAAAUAAGUAUAUUCCAAAGCUCUAUUUUUACUUGUCAAUAAGUUCUUUGCUUCUUAGUAAGAAUCCUUACUCCGAACUUAAUUACAAACUAGUUGUCUUUUUUAUCAUAUUGUCCAAUAACCUACUCAAUAGCUAUGGAACUUAUGUCAUCUGUCACUAUCAUCGAUCUUUCAUAAUUAUAGUCUAUGUGCUUUAAUACUAGUUGUGAUUUUAAAACCAUCUUUAAUUCAUCCAUGGCCAUCUCUUGCUCUUUAUUUCAUACAAACUUCUUUAUUUUUUUAAUAAUUGAUACAGAGAUUCCACAAUAUAAAUAUAGUAAAAAAUUCAUAUUUUAUAAAAUAUGCAAGCACCUAAAUAUCUUCUUACCUUGAUAGUGCUCCUAUAUGCCUUCAUUCUUGCUAUGGCAUCUACCUUCUCCAAGUUUGAUUUUAUUCCAUAGCUUCUGCAUAAAUGUCCAACAACCAUAUUUUUUUUAAAUAUAAAUGUAGAUUUUUAAAAGAAUAAAGUGAGAUUUACCUCCUCAAGUUUCUUUAAAAUGCAAUCCAUAUCUUCAAUAUAUUUUUUUACAAAUGUAUAGUAUCUAUCUUCUUUCAAAAUAAAAUCUAUAGUUUCUUCUUUGCAAUCCUUGAUUGGAACAUCAUUCAAAAAGUCUUCUUUAGCACAAAUUCCUUUAAAAUUUGGUUGAUUACAAUUUCCAUAUAAACCAUUGAAUUAAUUUCAUCUUAUAACAAAGUACACAUACAAACUAGAUCCAAAGGAGUGUUCAUAUUAAUUAGGUCCCUACUCUCGUUUAUUAAUUGAAAUUGAUCAUAAAAUUACUAUUAGAAUAAAUGGCAUGUCUUAUAAAAGCUUCUACUACUUCAUCUACUACUAGUCUAGACUCUAUAUUCCUAAUAGUCACCUUAUUGGCUAGUUGCAUGUCUUGAAUGAAUCUAAGUGCCUUAGACUUCUUUGGCAUGAUGAACCAUCAAUUAGAAUAAGAUAUAAUAGAUGGUUCAAGGAUAUCGAUCUUGAUCUUUUUUUUUAAUAAAUCUAUGAAUUUAGAAAGCAAAGCUUUUGAUAUCAAAAUAGACUUUAAGUCCUAAGUUAUAUGUGGAUUAGUAAAAAUAACCAUAGAUGUUACUAUGUUAGGAUCCAAAAAAUCAAUUUUUUUAAAUGCAAAGGCAAAAGCCUUACCAUAUUUGGAAAGCAUCUCUAAAAACUUCUUUCUUUCUACCUCAAUCAAAAAAUCACUCCCUCCAAUCUUCAACUUAUCUAGAGACUCCUUGAUAAACUUGUCAUCAAUCUUUCUUGACUCUCUCAAUCUUGGCUCUAUAAUAGCUUAUUUGAUAUGCUCUUUGGUGUCUUGAAGUAAUUGAGUUGUCAUGAGCUUCACCUUCUUGGCCAUGAUCUUAUACUUAAUAUGCACCAUAGCCUCUUGCAAUAUCACAUGAUUAUCAACUACUCCAAGCCUCUUAGAAAACUCAAAAACCUCCUCAUAUAUUUAUCUUGAGUGAAGCUCCAUAAGAAUAUUAGCUCCAUCUCCAUCCAUAUGAAAAGACAAUCUUUCUAAAACUUUCACAUAAUCAUCUUCAAAGCCUUCUUUUUCAAUAACACUUGAAAUACAUUCACCACUUGAAAUCACAUCAUUUUUUUUUAAAUUCAUAUUUUUUUAUCCAACUCUUAUACAUAUGAUCUAAAUCUCCAAUUCUUGAAAUUUCAAAAUCCUUGAAGUUUUUAAAUCCAAAAUUCCAAACUCAAAGCUAUCUGUAUUGAAAAGUGUAUAGAUAAAAUAUUCACUUGCAUCCUUUUAUCUUUCAUGGGCUACUUCUCUAUUUUAUAAAUCUUCCUUGAAAUAAUCUUGAUUUUUGGUCCAUUAUUAAUAAAUGCCAAGGUAUGCUUUUUGAGGUCUCUUAGUCUCACUUGAGCCUCCAUGGUAAGCCUAAUUCAAAAAAGAUGUACAAAUUCAAUACUCAUCCUCUCACCCUCAAACCUCUUAUGAAAAAUAUAAUUAGAUAUAUUUACCUUACUUACAUCUAUUCCAUACUCCAUUUCUUUACAACAUCUUGUUCUUCGUUGAUCUUUAUUUCUACCAUAGCCUUGAUUAAUCACCUCCUUCUUCUUUUCAUGUAGAAUCUCUUUAAAUCUAGGUGCACAAAGUUGGAAAAAUACUUGCUCUAUCUUUUGGUCUUCUUCUUCAGUCAAAUAAGAGUCUAAUGCCUUCACCAUAACUGCCUCUGUUGUCAUUUGUCUCUACCUCUUAAUAAAAUCAAUGAUAAGCUCAUAGAAGUCUUUUUUUGUAAUACCAAGUGCCUACCUCAAGGUGAAAGCCUUUUUAAAUGGCAAUAAGGAUUUAGAAGACAAAGAUGCCAUUACGGAAGAAAAAAAGACUAAAUUCUCUAAAAAAGAUGUGGUGGAGCUUUCUAAUAAGAAGAGACCACCAAAGAUUAGGGAGUCUAUUCAAAGAGGAGAAGGAUCUCUCUAUCCACAAGCACAAGAAAUACCUUCAUCUCAAUCAAAUAAUGGACUUAGUGAUCAAGAAAAUAGAGCAAAUGACAAAGGAAGAGAAGGUUCAAAUAAGCCUAAAAGUAAAGGUCCUUCAUAUAAGCUUCAAUUGGAUAUUGAAAGUUCUGUUGAUAUAAAGAGAAUUUUAAAAUAAAGGAUUUUUGAUGCAAAAAUUGAAUUCAAAAUAUGCUAGAAUAGGUAUCAACUAGAUCAUCUCCACUUAUUGCUCUCUUAAUGAUCUAGUUGAUUCUAUUCUCCUUAUUCAAAUGCUAAUAGAAUCAACUAGAUCAUCUCAACUUAUUGCUCUCUUAAUGAUUUCUAUUCUUCUAACCAUAGCCUCCAUCAAUAGCCUCAAAAUAGCUGUUGUGCUCCUAAUUUCUACUUCAAUGAGAUAAAAUUCAAUCUCUUUCACAUGUAAUCUACUUAUUUCUUCCACAUAUUUUUAAUCAAUUCUUCAAGAUUAUCUUUGAAAAGAGACUUAUAUGUCUCUGGGAUUGGAGUAGAUGUCAUCAAACUCAAUAGAAUAAUUGAUAUCAUAGAUGGUAGAACUUCAUGCCUUAAAGUCCCUACUCUUAUCUUUAUCUAUUGUCAUAUUAUAAUUAUUUAUAGUAUAUAAAAUUUAACUAAAAUAAAUAAUAUAUUUAUAAAUAUUGAUAUACUUUAGAGUAGUUAGUAGAUUAAUUUAAAGAGAGUUGAUGUAAAAAAAUUUAUUUUGAUGUUUAUCUAUGUUGAUUAUAGUAUUCAAAAUACAUAGGAUUUAAAUAUUUAGUAUAAAAUUAAAAGAGAAGAUUAGGACUCAAAGAUGAAGAUCCAAACUUCUAAGAAGUUUAUUUGAAAGGAUGAAAGCAAGAUAUGGAUGGAUGAAGGCUAAAAAUAAAGAUUUUUAUUCCUAUUAAUUAAAAGCCAUAUCCAAUAGGCAUUUAUCAUAUUGUCUGCAAUCAUAACAAGGAUUUUGGCAACUUUAAAAGAAGCAUUUGAGAAUCAAAAGCAAAGGUUGUAAGAUUUAAGAUUUGAACUAUAAUUUUUGUACAAAUUUUAGAGGAUUUGGAAUUAAAGUGAUGAAGUUAUAGUGAUUUGAAAUUUAGGUGUUCUUUUAAGAUAAACUAUUACUAUUUUGAGAAUAUGAAGAGUUUUAUGAUAGAUUUUGGAGAUCAAGAUAUGGAGAUGCAAGGAUGAUUUUAAGAUCUACAUCUCUUAUAAAAGAAUUUUUGCAUUUGAAGUUUGUAUAAAGAAGUCAUAGAACAUUGAAGACAACAUAUGUAAUUCAAAGAUAAUAAGUAAGUUGUUUUGUUAAUAGUAAUGGUUGGAGCCAUAUCUUAAGUUUUCAAGUGAAUUUAGACUCAAAAUUUCUAAAUUUAUAUUUUAUAAAAUUAAAAAGCUAUGCAUUAAAAUUUUAUGGUAUUUGAGUACUUAUUUUGUGAGAUAUGAAGAAAUUUGUACAUAGGUAUAUAUAAGCAAGGAUUUUAAGCUACUAUUAGAGUUUUGAUGAUAUUUCAAGAUCUAUAACAAAUUUGUGGUUGAAAUUUGUUUUGAUAGUUGUUAAAAUUAUAUUAGUACUUCAUAUAAAAUUUGGAUUUGUUUAGAUGGUCAAAUCGUGAGAUAUGAACUGUUGAAGUUUGGAUAAAAUUCACCUUAAGGAUAUACAAGUUUUUAUAAUAUUUUUAUCACAAUUUUUGUGAUCUUUGGUACUUAAGGCAUAUGUAUUGAUGUAAUUGCCUCUAUAAGGAUAAUUUUGUAUAUAAACUUAAUGUUUGUUUGUUUGUUUAUUUUUUUUUUUUUUAUUUUUUAUUUUUUUUAUCUUGAGGCUUAGUUGAGUAAUUAGUGAUAGCCAAAAGCAUAGCACUUUCUUCAGGAAAAUUCUUUCUACCAUGACACCAUUGUUGCUUAAUUACCAAUGAAUCUUCAAUUCUCUCUCAAUCAUUAGUUAAACCUCCUUCAAUAGACUUGUGAGCCAAGAGCACAAAGAGCAUAUCAACUAGUAUUUCAUUUGCUACUUGUAAGAAGAGCUCGGUCUUCUUUAUACCUAAUAAAAGUCUCUUUGAAGAUGAGAAUUGAAAAAAAUUUCUCUCAAACUUUCUAAACAAAUAAUUGGAGGCUAUAAACCUCCUUGGUUGUUAUUCAAUCUAUUCCAAAAAGAAUCUCUUAGUGACUCUAUCAAAAUCUUCAUUAUAAAAUUCAUCUCUCAAAUUCUCUUCAAAAUCACUUCAAGUCUCUAAAUUGCUUCUAUCCAAAUCUUUCACUCUCUUCUUGAUCUCAAGAAUGCAUUCCAACUCAAAACUAAGAAAAUAGUAACUCUCAAGGAUUUGAUGUACCUCCAUCUCUCUUAUAUAUGCUCAAAGAAACUUAAUGAUGUCUCUUUUAUCAGAUCUCUUAUGGUUAUUAACCACGCUAUUGUGUUGUGGUUCAGCUAUUAUAUAAAAAUAAUUAAUUAUAUAUUUAAUAUAUAAUUUAUUAAGUAAUAUGGUGAAAGCCAUAUUAUUAGAUUUUAAUUGGUUGUAGAAUAUAAUUUGAUUAUUACCUUGAAAAGAGGUUAUUUAAAAAAAUUAUUAUAGAAUUUUUAUAACUUUAAUUUCUUUUGAUAGUGGUUUUUAAGAUCAGUUUUGAUUGAUAGUAACUUCUAAAUAUUUAGGAUCACCUUUGUUAGACAUUGGUGACCUUUGAAAACUUAUUUUGGUUCUCUUAUUUGGUGUUUAAAGCAUAAAUUAUAUAAAUCUUAUAAGAAAAAGGGUUGAAGAAGGGUUUUAGUAGCAAAGACAGUUUAGAGCAUCUAUAUAGAUGAAUGGAGAUGGAUGAUAAAAAUCUUCAUUCCCAUUGAUCAAAAAUCAUGACCAAUAGGCUUUGAGGAGGCUGUCCGAGGCCAUAUUAGAGAUUAGAACUAGUUUUUCGGAGCCAUUUGAGCUUUGAAGACUAAGAUCAAAAAUUUUAGGUUUUUGGCUAUGGUUUUGGUGAAAAUCUUGUAUGAUUUGGAGUUUAUAUGAAGGAGAUAUAGGUGCUCAAAGUUAAGGUGUUGAUUUGGGAGCUAUUGUCACUCUUUUUGACAUAACGCACGCGUACAGAGGGCAAUUGAGGAGUGGCGAGUGCAUCUAAAGAGAACACUUUUGAAGCUACACUUUUUGCAUAUUUCUUGCUAGAUUCUAAGUUGAAAUAAAGGAGUUAUUGGAUUUUGAAGUCAGCACAUGCAAUCUAAGGGUAGUAAAUGACCCGAUUUACUAGUGGUUGUGUCUUGAGCUAUAUCUUGAGCAAUUUGAUAAGAUUUUGGCUCAAAAUAUCAAAAAAUGUGUAAUUUCAUGUUAAUAAACUUUGUACAUAAGUUUGAUGAUAUUUGAGUAUUGGGUUCUUGAGUUAUUAAGAAAAUAGUGCUCAAGUGCUUGUCAAUUAGGAUUUAGAGCAUCUGCUAGGAUUUCUUAGAUGCCAAAAGAUUGGAAGUGAAUUUAUAGUUGGUUUUUUUGUGAUAAAACUUAAGGGUGAAUUCUACCUAUUCUAUAAAACUGAAACAAACUAAACAGUUAGAUCAAGAGUUAUGAAUUUUUAAAGUCUAAGAAGAAAAAAUCCUUCGUGAGAAAAAUAUGUUUUAAAGGAAUUUUGUUAUAUUUUGAAUUUUAUGCAAAUCAAAGGAGUUUUAGAAACUAAGACAAGAUUCAUAUAAAGGUUUAAGCUAAAUUCUCUAGAGCUAGAUAUACAAUGUAUUUCUAGAUAAAAAAUCACAUCAUACAACAAUGCUUUGCAAUACCUUGGAUACCUCCUUCUCACUUGCUUGUAUUUUUUUUGUCUCUCCAUGAACAUUCUCAAAGCUAAAAAUAAAUCAUUGGAACUUGUUCCUUUAUUGCUACUUAUAUUGACUCUUCCAAAAUUGUCCAUCAUCUUUAAAUAUCAAAAAAUCUUUUACUUUUUUCUUUUUAUUCUUGAAUGUUUUUUUAUACUCCAAACUUGCAUCCUAGCUCCAUAAUUCCAUUAUGCUCCACUUAUACUCUCAAUUGCCUCAAAGAUGCUCUCAAUGGAAGCACCAAAUUUAUGUCAAGAAGAUGAGCCUCCUCAAAAGAACACAAGGUCUUUGAAUGCAAGUAGGUUGUAUGAAGUACAAUAUUGCCCAAAUGAAGUCAAAUAUAAAAGGAUAGCCAAAGAUCAAGUACAAAAUUUAGACUAAUUUCUUUCUUGUACCAAGAUGAAUCCAACCCUAAUUCAAAUCUUAAAUCCAAACCUUAUCUUAUUAAAAUAUCUAUAACUCACUUAUUAUUAAUCUAAUCUAUGUAAAGUUUAGUUUGUCAAACUUAACUCAAGCUAUAAACUUUAAAUUAUUAAAGUCUAUAAAUAAAAUCUUGAAAAAAUGAGAGCCAAAUCAAGAAAAAAAAAUUGGUCUCUUGCUACAGUCACUGCCUUCAAAACCUCCAUCUACAAAUUAGCUUGGAUCUCUUUUAUUAUAGCUUUUCUUCUUGCAUGCUAAUGCUUCUUAAAAAGCUAAAAAUUAGUUCUAGUUUUCACCGAAUUCUUAGAAUAAAAAGAAGAAAAUCUAGUAAAUUGCAUAGAAAGUAUCAAACCAAUCUUGAAUUCUACUACUUGGAAAUUCUAGUAACCUUCUUUCUACAAAUUCAUAUAUAUCUCCUUCAUCAUAGCUCUUCUUCUUGCGUAAAAUAUCUUCUUAAAAAUCUAACAAUAAGAUCCAUUUUUUUCCAAAAUUUUAAAAUAAAAAGAUAAAAAUUCAAGAAAUGUAAUAAAAGAACCUUGAAUUAGUCUUGAAUCUUGCUACCUAAAAACUCCAUCAACUCCCUUCUUAAAAAAUUUCUUAGAUCUCCUUCUUCAUAGCUCUUCUUUUUACAUAAAAUAGCUUGUUAGAAAGCUAACAAUAAGAUCUAAGUCUUUACAAAAUCUCAGAAUAAGAAGAAGAAAAUACAAGAAGUGGCAUAGAAAUCCCUACUUAGUCUUGAAUCUUAUCGCUCAAAAAUUCUAGUAACCUCACUUUUUACAAAUUUGCAUGGAUUUCGUUCUUCAUAGCUCCAUUUUUUGUAUACUAUAGCUUGCUGGAAAGUUAACAAUAUAAUCUAUCUUCUUUAAAAUUUUAGAAUAAAAAGAUAAAAAUUCCAUAAAUGACCUUCAAAACCUCAAAUGAGGCUUGAAUCUUAUCCCUCUCUAAAAAUUUUCAACAAGCCUUCUUUUUUCUUUUUUCAACCUCCAACUCCCAAAAAUUAUAAUCCUUCAUACCAAAAAUUCUUAUUCCUAAUCUUCUCCCAAUAUCCUUCUUGAACUACUAUAGAGCUAGGUUUCUAUCCUAAAUGGCAAUACCUUCAAGCUUGAAUAAUCCAUUCAAGAUAAUAAUUUUAUAUUCUAAACUCUAUUCAAAUUUGUAAAUAUAUUAGCAUUAUAUUCUUUCUCUUUCUUAUAAGUAAAAUUAAUUAUCCUCUAAAUAUCUUUGAUAUACUUAAAUUAAGUAUAUCACAAUACCGAGUGCUUAGAUAUAGAAGAUAAAAUGGAACUUAUAAUAAGAUCCUAAAAAUUCUAAUAGAAUCUUUAAAAAAUUCUAAUUAAAUUAUAAUAAUAGUAAUAAAUCUUUAAUUAAACUAUGAAAUAGUCUUAAAAAAUAGAUAGAAGAAAUUUAAAGAAAUUAUAAAUUAAUUUUAAUAAAAUACAUAUAAUAAAGAAAUUCUAAAGAAAUAUUUAAAAUAAAUAUCUUAAUUUAAUUUUAAUCAAAUUCUAAUAUAAUCUUCAAAAAAUCCUUAUAAAAAUUCUAAAUUAAUUCUAAUUUAAUUCUAAUAAAAUCCUAUUGAAAUUUUAAAUCAAUUCUAACCAAAUUCUAAACCAAAUCUUAAUGAAAUCCUAACCAAAUUCUACAUCAAAUUUUAAUGAAGUCCUAAAUAAAUCCUAAUCAAGUCUUAAAUCUUAAAUCCUGAAUCCUAAUGAAAUCCUAACCAAAUGCUAAUGAAAUCCUAAUAAAAACUUGAACCAAAUUCUAAUCAAAAUCUAACCAAAUUUUAACCAAAUUUUAACCAAAUCCUAAUCAAAUCCUAAACCAAAUCCUAAUGAAACUCUAUUGAGCUCUAUUCAACGUUUAAAUAAAUUCUAAAUUCUAUAGUACAUUUAAAUAUCAAUAAUUCAUAAUCAAAUUAUUAAUUUUUAUUCAAAAUUCGUAAUUUUUUUACUAACUAAGUUGAUAAUAAGUAAGAAAAAUUUGGAAAAGAUCAAAUAUACCAAAUAAAAGAUAAUUCCUAAAAUCUACUUGGAUAUUAGUCAGCCUCUUUAUUUAAUUUGAUGCUGAUAUUUUAGAGCCAAAAUCUCUUAAUUUUACCAUUCAAUAGAUUUUAAAUUUUGAAUAAUUUUUAAAAAUUAAGUUUAUUACUUAUAUACAAAAUUUUAUUUCAAUCUAAUAGGUAAAUUGAUGGAUAUCUUAGAAACCCUCACUAGUCUUCUAAAUCCCACUCCUAAGACCUCAAUAUGUUUGAGCUUCAAAAAACUUUGAAUUAACCAUUAAAUCAAGCUUAAAUAAGUAAUACAAAUGAUAUACAAUAAUAAUCACUUAAUUACAAAAUUUCACCUAUAGAUCAUCUACAAAUCUCAUGUAAUUGUUUGAAGUACAAAUUCCUUGAAUUUUUUAAAAUUCAAAGUCACUUAAAAAUAAUCUUAACUUUACAAACUCUUUAUAAAGAUCUUACGUACUUAAAUCACUUGAAACCAAUGCUUAAAAAACCCUAAUUUGUUUACUCUCUAAUCUUCUUCUUUAAUCAACCAAAGAACCAUGGAUUUAUCAUGGGUGUGUAUUUUUGUGCCUUGAGAUUUGAUUUUGAUCUUGGUUUUUAAUUGGUCCUUUCUAAGUAUCAAUUCUGUAUAUUUUAAGGUAAUUUUUGCUAAAAGUUAUUUUUAAUCUUUUUCUAAAUAUGUCUAAAUACUUUGAUUUGGCUCAUUUAUAAAGUAAUUACUUUGAUAUAGUAAUUACUUUGAUUUGGCUCAUUUAUAUUUCUAUAAAAUAAAUAGAAGUUUCUUCUACAAAAGACAAUAUUAAGAGUAAAAUUUUUACUAUCUUUUUAUUAUUUAUCUUUAUUUUUUAAUAUAAUAAAAUACUUUAUUUCUUCUUUUAUUUAAUGGCUAUAUCACUACACAAUAAUACCUAUUGCUAUGGUUUGAACUCUAUCUAAGAUUUUCUAAUUCAUUCUCUUGGCUGUUCCAUUUUGGUACAAAGUAUGCAAAUAAUGCAAAGUAGCUAGUUGUCUUUUUAUUCAUGUCUAUUUAUAAAAUAUCAAAAAAAAAUUAAACUUAAACUUACUAUUCCUAUUUAUUCUAAGAAUUUUAAUCUACUCAUAGCUAUCAUUUUCUCCAUGUGCUUGAAAGCUCUUGAAUUUUUUAAAUGUUGAGCUUUUGGUCUUUAAAAAAAUAAUCCAUGUCAUCCUAUUAAAAUUAUUUAUAAUAGUAAAAAAAUACCUAAAGCUUCUUUAGAAGGUUUAUAAGAAUGGAAUACAUAGGUCAAUAAGAAACAACUAAUUUUUUUAUUAUUAUACAAAUAAAACUCUCUUUUAAUAUAAAAUUUUUAGUGAACUUUUUUUAAUUGUUUUUGUAGUAGAAUGGCUUAAGAGAUGAAAUAUAUAGCAUCUUUCUAACAUAUUUUAUCAUUGAUAAAUUAUGAAAAGCUUAAAAAUUUGAAUGUCCAAGCUUUUUGUAUAAUAAGUUUGUAGAGAUUAGCUCAGCAAGGUUUAUUUUGAUUUACGAUAGUGUGAUUAGCUACUUUGGUGCUAAGAAGCAAUAUAAUCUAAUGAGUAGAUCAUAAAAUCUUUUUAUUAUUACUAUCUUUGAUUUUUUUUCUUCAUAAUUUAAUAUCUAUUUUAUAUAAAAAUCACCAUGCACCCUUUAUCAAUAAUUAUGUCUAUUGACAAAAGACUUUUCUAAACUCUAGAUACAUGAAGCACUCUUAAUACUUCCUUUAUCAAGUCUUCAUGUUGGACUACCAUUGUUUCUUCUCAUUUGACUUCAUGUAUUUUUCUUGCUACUGACCUAAUUUUAUAAUGUGAUUUAUAUGGCAUAGUGUUUGGUCUUAUUACUACUGACAUAGAUGGUAGCAUCAUUAUCUAAGUACCAAUUUUUAUUGUCAUGAUUAAGGUUGAGUACCAAAAUUAUUACAUCAAAAAUUAUGAUUUAGCCUUAUUUUUUAGUUUCUAUUGAUUUUGAUAUUAUUCAUAAUUUUUUGUUAUAAGGUUUGCUUGAGCUUCCAUGUUUGUAUCCAUCCAUCUAAUCCUUUUGAGCCAUGGACAUUCUCUACUGAAAUCUCUCCAUUCAUUGUAAUUAUUGGUCCUUUUAUUUUUAUUUUUAUUAUUAAUCUUAAUACAAGAAUCUACUACAUAGUAUUUCAAAGAUCAAAAACUAUUCUUGAGCUAGAAUAGCUUGUAUAAAAUCUUUAUAGCUUGAUAGAAAAAUAUUGAAUAUCAAGUGGAGCAAUCUAGAAUCUUUGAUGUUUUCACCAAUUGUUGUGAGUUGGAAUAUUGUUUCUUUUACAUGUGGUAUAAACUCUUCAAUUGAUAUUUUUUCUUGCAUCCUUAAGAUAUAGAAAAUAUUAAAUAAUUACAUUGUGUGUGCUAUAUUUUAUCCUUUGUACAUCUCAUAUAGGAUUUUCUAUGCUUUUACUAGAUUGUUGUACUUUGCAAUGUGGUGGAUCAUAGUAUGCUUUAUUGACAUGAUGAUGAUUAAUAUUGCCUUGUAUUUGUUUUUUUCUUCUUUGACCUAUAUGUCUAGUGGUUUGAAAUUGAUGGUCAUUAAUUCUCCUUCCUAAAUUGAUCUCAUCUGCAGUAGCUACCAAAGCCUCUUUCGCUACAUCAAUGUAUAAAUUUAUAUCUUUUAAACUAAGAAGUUCAAGAUGUCUUUUAGCUUUAUUGAUUCUUAUAUAGUAAAGUUUUUUUUUUAAUUCAUUUUAUUUUGUUGUGAUAAUCCUUGUCUUUUUAAAAAUAAAUAUAUACUUACUUUGAUUACAUAACUUUGUUCCAAUGUCAUUAAUAAAUAUACUUUAUGUAAUUAGCUUCUUCUUUAUAAUCUAUAAUCAUCUAUGGCUCUAAGAAGCUUUAUUAAUUAUUACUAGUAUGUGACAUCUAUUUAUGUGUAGUAGAAAUUAUCUUCUAAUGUGGAAUCUAUUUCCUUUAUUUUUGAAUCUUAUUAUGAUAUCAUGUUGUUGCAAUUAUAUAUUCUUGUCUCUUGAAUGUGGAAUGAAAAAAUAUUAUCUUUUUGCAUUAAGAAAGUCAAGCCUCAAGAUUAAUAUUUAUAUAUAUAUCAAGUUGCUAAUCAACUUGUUUUUAUAAGUGACAGCUAUUGUAAUUGUAAGAUGAUGCAAUAUGGGCAUUGUUAGGUUGCUACAAGAGAAGCUACAGCCAAACACAUGAUAAUAGCCACCUAGGUUUAUUUUAUUUGAUUGUACAAUCUAGCUAGUAGUAAUUAGUUGUAGGUAGCAAACUACUUCUAAGUAAUGUUAGAUGGUAUUGGAAAUUGAUGUGUAGUUCUUGCCGAUAACAAGUUAUUAGUUAUGUCUCAAAAAUAAUAUUGUAAAGUGAAUCAAUGUAAUUGUACAAAAUAAAAAAUUAACUUAUUUUGUAUUACUGCCAUUUAAUUCAUAUUUAUACAUAAUUAACUUUAAUAGAAUAUGAACUUCUUUAACUUUAUUGAAUAGUGUAAAUUACUCUUUUAAAUUAAUCUUUAUUAUGAGAUUCUUUGAAAACAAGAUUCUAGUAUUUAAAUUUUUUUUUUUUUUAAUGAUAUUUUUACAAACUUCUUAUUCAGUAGUUUUAUUUCCUAUUUUUAUAUUAUUUUUUAAGUUUUAUUGACUUCUUCUUUUUUACAUAUUUUUAUUUUUUACUAAAUAUUUCUACCAACUUUUGACUAACUUUAAGAAAAAUUCUAUGUUAAUUAUACAUUUUAAUUACAUUAACAUUUUUUAUCUUCUUAUACUAACUUACAUUUUUUACUAUCUAUUAUCUAAUUCGAAAACUUGUGAGUCAUCAAAUUGACUCACUUGUUAUUUCAGGAUAAAAAUAUGCAUUUAGAAUGCUUUAAAUCAUAAUAUAUAGUGAGUAGUGUAGAAAUCCUUUGAGAAAUAGAAAAUUAGAAUGUUAGUGGUGGAGAUGGAGUCUUAGUAAGUCUUGGAGGUAAUUAUCUUUAUUGAUUUAGUAUUUUAUUCAUUAUUGAGUAUUAAAGAUUAUUUAUUAAGACCAAUAUUUAUAUUGGUCUUCUAUCUAUAUGUACUAUUUAUAAAAACUAUAAAUAUUAGUAGUUAGAAGAAGCAUGAGAAAGAACCUCAUGACAUUUUAGUUAUUGAUAUAAAAAAUAGGAUUUAUAGUGGAUUUAAAUUGAUGUUUAUUAUUAUUAAAAAUUAUGAAGGUAGAAAAAUGUAGCUUUACAUGGAUAUUAAUAUUAAAGAAACAUUAUAGGAUUUUUCAGAAUUUAUUUAGAAUUUACUUAUAAUUUUUUAGAAAUUUUUAGAACAAUAUUUAAGAUCUUAGUAAAAAUGAGUUUUAUCACUUCGGAAGCCAUUGUGAAGAAAGAGAGUGAGAUUUGAAGGCCACACUAAGUUCUCAAGCUAAUUGGGUGUUUUUUAAUACCAUGUUGAAGUCAAAAAUACAAAAAAAUGAAUUUUACUAGUAGAAAAUAGGAGGACCAGCAGCUAGUCUAGUCCUUGUAGGAAGGAAGGUGCACAAGUUCCAUAUAGGUUGUAUCACCUUGGAUAUAGGUAGGAAGAUAAGACUAAGGCCUCAAGGCCUCUUUAGACAACUGAUAUACACUACAAGUGAGCCUUGGUGAGGUUCGAACCCUUGACCUAUAAGCAAGUUACCCUUGAGGUAAAAUAUUUUUACUUAACUUUUAUUUAUUUACUUGUUAUUUUUAAACCUUCAUAACUUAUUCAUAGUAACUCGGAUUUACAUGUUUCUUACAUCAUUGGAAAAUUUUAAAAAUUAACUUCCUAAAAAUAUACUUUUACUUUUACUUUUUAUUUUUUAUUGGAUGAAAACUCCAUGAACAAUAUUUUGGAGUGUGUAUUUGCUUAUAUACAUUCCUUUCUCUGGUUUGUAUUGUUUCUUCUUUUGUUCUUAUUCAUUGCAUCUUCUACUUCACACUACCUAUUACAAGCAACUCUUAAUUGAUGCCAUCUUAUAAUUUGGAUAGAGGGGUGAAAUUUAUACUCACAAAACUCAUAAAAAAAUGUAAGAAGUUUGGGAUAAAAGUAUUCAAUAGUGAUCAAUUUUUUGUUUGAAAUCCUCAUAUGAAAAUCAUUUUUUAAGCCAAAAAGAUUUUUAGUGUUGUUACAAGACAAGAGCAUAGACCAAUUAUGCCUGCUACAUAUAACAAUCCAAAGUUUCAAGAUUAAAUAGAUGUUUGGGAUCAAAAAAAUGUCAAUACAUGCAUAUUCAUCACUUUUGGUAUUUUUUUGUAAUUUAUAUCAAAGUUAAUCAGUUGUUCUAUCGCCAAGAUUAUGUGAACGAAGUUAUGUUUAAUAUAUCUCUAACAAAUUGCAAAAAACUUUUUUCAACAAUCGUCAAAUUUUCUAAUUAUAAAAUGUCACAAAGUGAUGACAUUAGUUCAUAUAUCCAAAAAAAAAUUGAAAAUAUGGCUUUACACUGAAAGGAUUUGCAAUACAAAAUAUCAAAACACAUGUUAAUAUCAAAGAUAAUGUUGAGCCUCCCACCAAGUUACAAGUUACAAUAGUAUCCUUGCCACUUGGACAAAAAUUCCAAAGGAAUAACAGACCAUUACCACUUUGCAAGGAUGCCUUCUGUGCUACAAAAGUCUCCUCCAAAUGCAGAGAACACAUGAUGAUUCAAGAAAUUUAGCCUUUUUCACUUAAGGACGAGAUACAAAAAAUUCACGCCGGUAAGUUACUGGGAACAGCACCAGCCAAAUGUUAAGUAUAUUAGUGACUUGAAAAGUCGGACCUGAUGUUUUAACGGUGGUGUGAAAAGCCACUGGUCAGCUCAUUGUCCGAAACCAAAGAAAAAGACUAAGGUGUUACUGCCGUUAAACCGAUGCUUGUGCGUAAUUAACUUCAAUAUAUGCGCAUCCGUUCAGAUAUUGGAUUGAAGGUGGCGUUUUCUUUAUGUUUAUGCAGCUUGUUAUGAAACCUAUUCAUUCACUGAGAUUGGCCCUAUUGAAAUCGUACAGUUUCAAAAAAGCGAGGGAUUACUGCGAAUGCCAGGGGUCUCAUUUUUUUGCGACGGUAUAUAUGAUGAGAGCUAUUUUCACCAACAACCUGGCCCCGAGAAGUUUUAACAUUUUCCAUUUUUCCCCUUGAAAUAAGGUAGCCUUCGGUUUUUCAGGCAGACGGUUGUCUGGGUUUCAUUCUGAACAUAUCGAUCAUCAUCAUUCGAUCAGUUCUUAUGCGGAUCUGUUGAUGAAACCAUGCUUGCGAUACACUCAAAUUCAGAUCUCUAUGGUCACAAAUCGUAAUGUCAGUGCUGCAAUUUGUACGUCAGGCACUUCACCGGCAGGCUUCGAAACCGGAACAGUCAGCAUUAUCCGUAGGUGGUGUUUCAGGCAUCUUUACAGUUGACCUGCGUGAUGAUAUGUUAUGAGGGAUGUAUGUACCGAAAGGACCAGUCAGCCUCAUUGCAGGAACUCAGAAAUGCAACCUGCAGGGUGCAUCAACUCUGUAUCGAUGCCGAGGGAUAGACUGCACUAGUAAUCAGCCGAUGUUCAUGUUCGUAUAGUAGAUCGCUAUCUUUUCCUGCCCUCUUCAUCAAAAUCCUUUGCUAGCCAGGAGAAUAUAGCUGGCCCAAGUGACGUAUGGUUCACGGAGGAUCUUGCAGGUUCUUCGAUCAGAAUCCCAAGAAUCGACUCCAAAGCAGCGUAAGAGCGAUCGUAGUGCUCAAUGACAGCUUGGACUUUGUGGCUCAAUCCUUCAUUUCCGAAACGAAGAUCGAGAGCGGGGCCACACCCUCAAAUCCUCGCUGCCUUAGAAACCACGCUUGUAGUGUGUGUGUGCAUCAGAUUGGGAAUCCUUCGUCGGGUGUUGCAAAUUUCGAUGGAGAACUAACUUUAUCGGCUAAAGCAGUAGUCUUCUUCUUCUUCUUCUUCUUCUUCUUACUAUCAUUAUUAUUAUUAUUAUAAAUUUUAUGACUGUUAUUAUUGUCUGCUUUCUGUGCAACACUUAUGAGACAUGUGCUGAGGUGAGGCGAAAGGAUGACUGCCUCGGUAUGUGCCCGUGUAGAUGUUCCACUGCUCAGCAGCCCAGCUUUCUUCCUAUUUUGCACAAGUGACAUCCUUCUGAUGUACUUCCGUUCCAGAAUCGUCACAUCUGAAUGAGAUCUAGUACCCAAGCCUUCUUUUCCAUUGUUUCUUCUGUGCACAAACUUGUUAAAGCAUAAUAAAAUAGCCUUGAAAGAAACAUAUUUCCGGCAAUUUGUGCAUGGUGAUGUGGUAAGUGUGCUGAAAUAUUAUAGUCAAAGAUUUGAAUAUCUGUUUCUGAAUGAAUAUGAUCAAUAACUUCUCAAGCAACUUCAGUAUUCUUUGUAGAACUUAUGUCUUCAAAGUAAGAAAUGUAACCAAUGCCUAUAUUACUCAGUAAUUAGAAUAAGUAGGAAUAAUUAUAGAUAAAAAAUUUCUUUAAAAAUUAUUGAAGAAGUUUAUUAGAUGUAGAUUAGAUAUAUAAAUUUUUUUAGAUAUAUCACAUGAUCGUAAUUUUUAGUUUUAGAAAAAAAAAAUUAUCUUAAAGAAGUUGUUAAGUGAUUGGACUACAAGCCUUUUGGUUCUUAAAAAGCUUUCACUUGGCUAUUUUGGUAGUUAGUAAUAUAUAGAAGUAAGAUUACUAUUUUAGAUAUUUUUAAUCUUGAAUAUUUUUACUUUAUAUUUUAAAUUUAAGUCUCUUUAAUUUCUUUGUAUUUGAUGAUAGCCAUUUUUUAAAUUAAAAAUCCAAAAUUUAAUAUUUCUUCUUUAUUUUUUUGAUAUUUUUUAAAGAUUUAUAAGUGUAUUUGUUUUGAUGAUAAAAUUUACUUCUCAACUUAAAUUAAAAGAAAAAUUUAAUUAAAAGUUUUUAAAAUUAGUAUUAUAAUUUAAUUGAAGAAAAAAAUAAAUACAAGUAAAAAAGGAUAAUAAAAGACAAUUGAACUUAAAAACUAAUUAUAAUGUGUACAUUGCAUUUUUACUUAAUAAUUUUAAAAAAUAAAAUAAUAUAAUUAAAUUAAUAAAAAUAAUAUAAUAUACUUAUAAAAUAUUUUAAUUUUUCUAAUAAACUUUUCAAAGUAAAUUAGAGUUAAUAUGAUUAAAUUAUAAUAAUUUAAAAAAUUAUUUUAAAAAUUAAAAAAAUAAUGAAAUACUAAGAAAUUCUAAAUAAAUUAUAAAUAAAAAAAGUAAUAUUAUAUCUACAACAAUUUAAUAUCAUGUCAAGUUUCCUCAAAUGCAUUUUUCGUGAUUUAUUUAAAGCAAAAAGCCCAAAACCAAUAAAAAAAAAAAAAAAAAACAAAAAAAACAAACAAACAAACAAACAAACAAACAAACAAACUGAAAAUCCCAUUUUAUACAUAAAUAAAAUAAAUUUUGUAUUUUUAUGCUUCUCUUAUCUACUAAAUAUAAUUCAUGAUUCUCUAAAAAGUAAAAAAUAUAAGAAAAAUAAAAUUUUAGAUAUUCUUUCAAGAACUUAGAAGAAAUUAUUACAUUAAAGAGAAAAGCAUAAAAAUAUAAUACCAACUAGUGUUGAUGCUUUUAAGACUUACUAAGAAUUUGACUUAAUAAAUUAUUAUUCAUUAAAAACCAUUACAUAAAAAUAAUAUUAUAAAACUAAAUUAAUACUUAAAAAAUUAAAUAAUUCCUAUGAUAUAAUAUUUAACUAUCUUGAUAAUACUAAAGAUAGAUUUUUUGAUGAAUCUACUAAUUAAAAAAUAUUUUCUAAUUUAUGUCUUAAUUUUUUUUUUCUAAUAAUUUUUAAAAAUUAAAAAAUAUAUAAUACCAAAAUCUAAUAUUUUUUAUAAAAGUAAAUAAUUAAAAUAUUUAUAUUAAAAGUAAAUAAUUAAAAGAUUUAGAAAUAUUAAGAAUUUUUUUAAUAAUUAUAUUGUCCUUAUUAAUCAAUAAAAAUUAUCUAUUCAUACAACUUAAGUAUAAUUUUUGAAUUUAUCAUCUCAAAUGAUAGUUUGUACAUUGAUUCUAAGAAAGUAAAAAUUAGUGUAAAUUAGACAACUCCAAGAAAUUAUGAAAUAUUUAAUAAUAUUUAUAAUUUUAAAAUUAAAUAUUUUUCAAAUCUCUAAUUCUUUUAUAAGAUAAAUUAUAAAGAAAUUUUAUAGUAGAAUAGAGUUGUAAAAAAAAAUCAAUGCUUUAAAAUAGUUUUAUCUUAAUUCUUAUUUUAUAUUUUCCAUAAUAUUCAAAGUUAAUAUAUAUAUAUAUAUAUAUAGAUAAUAAAAAUUCUCAGAAUAUAUAUUUUUGUUACAAAUAAAUAAAAUUCUAGAAUUUAUUUUGUAGCUUUUUAUCCAAAAAAUCUUUACUAAUAAAGAUUAAAUAUAAAAUCCAUAAAAAAUAACUUGUCAUUGCAAUUUCAUUUUAAAUAUUAGCACCGCAUUUAAGAAGGCUCUUCUAAUCUACUUAAAUUUUAUACAUAUUACAAGAACCUUGAGCAUUUUAUAUCAACAUGUGUCUUAAAUCAUCAUCUAGCUAGUUGUCAUGUUGCACUUAAGUAAAAAUUUAGACAAAGACAAAUUAUAUGGAAAGUACUAAAAAAAGAUUAAUAGAUGUUUUUUUAAGGAAUUAAAAAUCAUUGAACUAAGCAUAGUUAAGAAUUUAAUUUUUUAUAUUUUUUAAAAGAGAUCAUUAUUAUUUAGAAAUCUAUAAAUAGAUAAAAAAUAUAGUGGAAUAAAAAAUAUUAAUAAAAUUUGAAAAAAAAAGUAAGAUAUUAAAUCUUUUACUAAAUUUUAACUUUUAAACAUUCUUUAAUUUUUAGAAACUCCUUAAAUUUUAAAAAGUAUUUUAAUUAAAGAAUUUAUAAUCAUUAUACUUUCAAAGAUAAUAAAGAUUAAUGUGAUUUCUUGAGAGAUAUUUGAAAAUUUAAACUUAAUCUAUAAUUAAAUUUUUUAUAAGUAUAUAGAUGUACAAGCAAGGAACUUGACACUUGAUUUUGGUUUUAUUUUAAUAAUUUAAUUAAUAGAUAUUAGACUCCAUGUACAUGGAAAUAUUAUAAAAAAAACAAAUUGAUGUGAGUUUCUAAUAUCUAGAUAUUAAAGCCACACAAAAAUUGAGGUAUAUAUUGAGGUAUACUAAAAUACAAGAUUUGAGUAUUAAAAGUUUCUAAUAAAUUUGGAGUAGAGAUAUAAUUAUUAAUAGAAAAUUUUAUUUUUCAUUAUUUUAUAAUUUAUAAGAAAAAUAUUUUUUUAAUUGUGAGAUUAUAUAAGGCUUAUAUAGAAACUUAUGUAUAAAAUUUAAAAAUAACUAUGAAAUGACAUUAGAAGUAACAAUCCAUUAAAAGUUUUUUCUUGAAAUCUAUAAUUUAUUUUAGAUUUAAUAAGAAUUUUUUGAAGAUUUUUUAAAUAUUAAUUUAGGAUUUAAUAGGAUUUAGAUAUUAUAGAAUUCUAACAAAGAUUCUAUCUCAAUAAUAGUAUCUAACUAAUCAUAAAGUUUUAAAAGAUACUUUCUAAGAUAACAUAGCUAGAUAUUAAAUUAUUUUAAAAUUUUUAUUUUAAAAUUAAUCAAUAAAUAAAAUACAUAUAAUAAAUAUUUAAAUAAUAUUAUAUAUAUAUAUAUACUAUUUUUAUCUUAUUUUUAUCAAUUUUUAUCUUCUAUAAUUUCUUUAAAUAUAGAAAUUAUAUAAAUUUUAUUAAUAAAAUAAAUAAUAUUAUAUACAGAUAAUAAAAAAUAUUUAAAAUGGUAUUCUUUAUUAUGACUUACAAUCUUUAGUUGAAUCUAUCUUCAUCAUCAAUUAUCUCAAGUUUAAUAGAAACUAAACUUGAGAUAUUAUCUCAACUUAAAUAUAUUUUUGUAAUUCCAGAAGUUCUUUUUCACUAGUUUUUUUUAUUAUAUAUAGAAUGACUAAAUUAUAUUUUUUGAAUUUACUUCUAUAUUAGAUAUUAUAGAAAUUAUAUUUCUAAUAUUUUUUUUUAAUUCAAAUAUAUUUUUAAUUCUUUUUUUACUUAUCACCACAUAAAAUAUCUUAGAAACUUUUAAAUUUUUAUUUUUAUUAUCUAUUCACUACUAAUUUAAUCUAAUAUAUCUAAAACAAUAAUUUUUUUUAAAAGUUUAAAGCAUAUUAACUAUCAUUUAAUUUUCUUAUAAUUUCAUUAAAAAAAUUGAUACUAACUAUGCUAAUUCUUAUAACCUUAUAUUUAAUGGAAUUUUUUAAGAGUAUAUUUUUAUUAUUAUAUAAAAUAUAAGUAAAAAAUCAUUAACUUUAAGAGCAUAUAUGAUAUAAGCAAAAAAAACAAAAUAUUUAUAUAUUUCAAAAAAAAUUAUUUUUUUAUGGUAAUAAUAAAAUAAUAUCUAAAUUCUUUAUCUACAUCUGUAAAAAUACUUGUUUAAAUUUAUAAGUCUUUUUAUCUUAUUUUUUUAAUUUAAUUCUAUAUUUUUUUAAAUAUCUCUAUUAUCUUUAGUUAUUCAAAAAAAAUGUUUCAAUAUUGACAUAUUUUGAAAAGAAUGGUGUAUUAUAGAUGAAUUGUAGUGAAUAAUGUCACAUGGUUUAUAUAGCAAAUAAAGUACUCCUUUACAUCUACCAAAUAAUCCUAGGUUAAAAAGAAUCUAUUAAGUGAUUGCACAGCUAUAACCAAUCUAAUUUGGAAUAGUAUAGAAAUAAUUUUUUGAGUGUGGUAUCUAAUUUUUGGAUUCUAUCAAUUACUCAAUAUUAUAGCAUUUUAUCAUCAUCAGAUAUACUAUGUCAAUAUUAUUAAUAAUCUAAUGACAUCAUUAAUACUUAUUAGCAGCUAUAAAAGCACCAUUCUUAAUCACAAUUCUUGGCAUGGAUAUAUUCCAAAUUACCACAUUCUAGGAUCUUCUAGAAUCUUCUAUAAAUUUUUAAAAACUUCCACAAUCUUUUAGAAAAUUCCAUAAGCUUGUAGAAGCCUCUUUAGACUUCCAAAAGCUUCUCUAGACUUUUAGAAACUUCUAUAGAAAAUACCAUAGACUUUUGUAACUUUCAUUAUAGUAUAAAUAGGAGCCUUUGGAACCACUUUUGCUAUCAAUCUCAUUCUUUGUCUUUAAUCUUGACAUACUUCUUUAUUAGAUUCUCGUAUCGUUGAAAAUUCCUUAAACAACUAUGAGAUCUAUUCUCUGCUCUCUUCAAGGCAACAUCACCUUCAGUAAGACUAUUUAUGAGUUAAUAAGUAUUAAUGUCAAAGAGAAUUACCUUUAGUAUGCCAUAUAUUCAAAAACCUUCAUAUACGAAACAUAAGAUUUCUUGCCAUUCCAAGCUUCUUAUAGAGUCGUUGAUGUGAGUGCACUUAUAGGGCACAUAUUCUUUAUAUAUGUUGCUAUAACCACAACUUUUAUCUAAUAUUCAUACCUAAGAUUUCAUACUUGAAGCAUAUUCUUUGCCAUCUCUACAAUGGUAUAAUUUUUUCUUUUAACAACUUUAUUUUGUUAUGGCAUAUAAGGAAUAGAAGUUUAUCUUACAAUGCCUUAAAUCUUUAAAAAGUCAUAAAAAUUCUUUGACAUAUACUUACCUCCAUUGUCUAUGCACAACACUUUGAUCUUGCACUCACAUUGCUUUUCUACAAGUGCCUUAAAUUCUUCAAAUCUUAAAAAAUACUCAUUCUUAGCUUUAAGGAUGUAAAUCUAUACCUUUCUUAAAAAAUCAUUAAUAAAUGUAAUAAAGUACUUUACUCCUCUAAUUGAUGGCAUCUUUAUUGGUCUACAAACAUCCAAAUGUACAAUCUCCAAAAAUUUGGUAGCACAUAUUGCAAUUCCUCUUAGAAAUCAAGCCUUUUAUUGUUUGCCUUAAAUACAAUCUUUACAAGUAAGUAUCAUGGCAUUGUAAUUGAAUUGACUAAGUUCCAAGCCAUAUACCAUGGAUUAAAGCUCUUUUAUGCUUUUGGCAUUCAAAUGACCAAGUUUUUGAUGCCAAAUUCUAAAAUUUUCUUGUUUUUGUGGAAAUUGAGCAAAUAUUGUCACUUCAAUUCUAUUCACCUUCUUAUAAUUGAUAAAAUAGAGGUUGCCAUCUCUUAAGCCUUUGGCAAUAUGUUAUCUACUCAAUGUCUUUACAAAACAGUCAUUCAUAUCAAAUUAAACUUUAUAACCAUGUGAUAUAAAUUUGCUCACCAAAAAAAGAUUUUUCUUCAUCUUUGGCAUAUGUAAGACUUCCUUCAAUCUAAUCUUUUUUAUUUGAUUUUUCUUAGUGAUCUCCACUAUAAUAGAGCCAAUUUUAAUGGCUUGCACCAUGACAUUGUCUCUCAAUCAAACAUUUAUUGCUGAAAUUUCUUCAUAAGUGUCAAAUGAACACUUAUAUGGUAUCAUGUGUUUAGUAGCACCCGAAUCUAUAAUCCACUUAGACAUGGCAACCAUGGAGGCUCUUUCACUUACCAUGAAAGUAUAAUCAUCUCCACCAAAACUAUCACUAGCAUUGUGUGCAUUCUCCCUAUCUCUUUUCUUACCUUGUAGUAAUUUUUGGCAAAGUGACAUGAUUUUUUAUAAAUAUAAUAAUUUUUAUAUUACUUUUUGAAUUAUUACAUUGGUGAAAAUAGCUACCUUUGCCUUAACUUGAAAAUAGAACCGAAUCAUCACUUUGAAGCUCCUUUUCUUUCCUCUUAGUCACUUUAUGGACAAAUUUUGAUGUGACAUAAUUCAUGGUAAGUUCUUUCAUGUUGAUAGACUCGAAUGCCACAAUGAGGUAGUUAUAGGACUUGAAAAGGCUCACAAAUAAUAUCAAUACAAUGUCCUUAUUAUCAAUUAACUUGUCAAUAAUUGCUAGUUGCUUUGCAAGUGCUUUUAUCUUGUUGAUAUGAGCCAUAAAAUCAUCUUCUUCUUCAAUCUUUAUCAUUAAGAACUUCUUCCGUAUCCAUAGAAUAUUGACAAGGUUUCUACUCUCAUAGAUAUGUCAAGGAUAAGAACUCGAUGAAAAACAAUUCAGACAAGUGAGCCUUCACUCAAAGAGAGGUGACAAAAUAUAAAUAAACAAGUAUAUAUAUUGAAAGAGAAACUGGAAUGGCUAUUGCCAAAAGACAAGAAAACUAGAGACCCUUGAAACUAGACUAGAAGCAAGAAAGGAGUUGACAAGAGUGAAGAAGCCUUCACUCUUGUCUCUAUACAUACUAUCUAACUAGGGGCUACGUGGCGGCAUUUUAUACGACCUCUAAUAUGUGUUGACUUUGUAGGACACAUGCCUUGACUUACAAGGCAAGUUUUUCUACGUGUGGGCCACAUAGUUAGCUUGAUCUUCAAGCUAACAAUAUGUGUGGCACAUGGUCAACUUGUUGACCACGUUUCUAAUCCAAAAAGUCAAUUAAAGACACCUAUGAAGUCAAAGCAGCAUCUAUAAAGCUUCUAAGAAGCUUCCAUAUUAAAUAUUAUAGAAUUAACUUACUUUUACCUAAUUUUACUUACUUCUAUCUAUUUCUAUAUGUAAUUAUUAGCUUACAUGAUUAUGGCCGUGAUAUUACCCCUCCUUCUAGAGACGAGUUCCAUAAAGAGCGGUCAUCAUAUGUUGAAGAAAUCUAUGAUGCGACGAAUUGAAUUCGCCACAUACUCUGAUCUCUGUUCUCUUCGAAGAUGAUUGAUAGGGCCUCUCAACCAUCGGUAGUAUCCCAUAUCAGGGCGGGAAGACCACCCAGUUAUUUGAUCAUUGUUGAGGCCUUCGUAACUUCCUUCAAAUAGAAUAUUUGGAACACCAUUAGGAGUUGUUCCUACCUCUAGCAAAAUCACCAAACAUCGAGAGUCCCUUUCUAAAUCGUGAUACCAAACGCGUUGUAUCUCACCAUCUAUUCGAAGAAGAAUAUGUCAUUCUUGAAGAUCUUCAUCUCAAUUGCGUCAUCUUGAAGGUUGUGACAAUCGUAAUGUCUCGUCCGGCAGGUCAACAAAUGAAGGCUCUUGAGUUGAAUCCGCUGGUUGUUGGUUCUCCAUCUCUUGAGUGCCAAUACUACAACAAAGCUACGAACAAGAAUUGAAAGUAGAAUGUUAUCUUACCUAGAUGUUGUUUCUUCUAUAAAGAAGGUUUUCAUCUUGAUUUUGAUGGAUUUCGUCGAUGAAAAGCCUCCACCACCUUUGCUGCAUUUACAAGAUUCUUUAUUGGCUCCCAUGUGCGUUCACUCAUACCAUAUUUGCGCCAAUGGACAAGAUAUUCUAAUUUAUUUUGGCGUCGCCUUGAAUCUAAGACUUCUUUUACUUCAAACUCUUCAUUAUUGUCGACUUCUAUAUGAGGAGUUGGAGCUUGUCAUCUUCUUGAUAUGUCCACUUUCUUGUAUGGUUCAAGAAGAGACACGUGGAAUACUGGAUGGAUUUUUAUUGACUCUGGUAGAUGUAAACGAUAUGCAACUGGAUUGAUUUGUACAGAAAUAGAAAAUGGUCCCAGCCUUCGAUAGUCCAACUUGUCACAAGAACGAGUGGUCUUGAUAUUGCGACAAAGUAGCCAUACCUUAUUACAUAAGACAAAUGAUGGUUGUUCCUUUCGAUAGACAUCGGCAUUGGCCUUUUGUUGUUCUUGAGCCUCUUUUAACUGCGCCUUCAUCGUUGCAUGUAGCUCUGAUAAAUGAAUUGCCAAAUCUUUCGCAGCAGGAUUAUCAACUUUUGAAAAGUCAAAAGUAUCAAGUCGUAGAUGAUAACCAUAAUUAGCAAAGUAAGGUGUUUGUUUUAUAGAAGAGUGUACCGUGUUAUUCUAAGCAAACUCUGCCAAUGGCAAAAGAGUUGUCCAAUCAUCUUGUUGGUAAUUAAUGGUACAUCUUAAAUAUUGCUCCAAAACUUGAUUAACACGAUCCAUUUGUCCAUCAGUUUGAGGAUGGAAUACCGAAGAUAGUUUUAUAUCCACUUUUAGAAUCUUGAAAAGAGUCUGCCAAAAUCUUGAUACAAAUUGAGUUCCCCUAUCUGAUAUAAUAUCCUUGGAUAAUCCAUGAUAGCGAUAGAUAUUGUCAAGAAAGAGCUUAGCUGUUUUUUCACCUGUGAUAGAUUUUGUACAUGGUACAAAAUGUGCCAUCUUGGUAAAACGAUCUACUAUCAUGAAUAUAGAGUCAUAAGAACCUGAGAUUGGAAGAUCCGUGAUGAAGUCCAUAGAAACAGAAGACCAUGGUUGUUUUGGAAUGGAUAAUGGCUGAAGAAGUCCAAAAGGUCGAUGACGAGGAAUUUUCGAUCUUGAGCAAACUUCACAUGAUUAUACAAAAUCUUUAACUACCUUCUACAUUUGAGGCCACAAAAAAUCCCUAGAUAUCAGCUCCAAAGUCUUACUAUAUCCAAAAUGUCCUACUGCUGGGAAGUCAUGACGAGCUUGAAGAACACGUAAACGAGCUUCUCCUUCUGGCACAUAUAGGCGUCCUUCGAAAUAGAGUAGGUUGUUCUUGAAUUCAAAUUUAGAUGGAUCAUGAGAUUUAGAAGAAUUAUUCUUGAUAUCAUGAACAAGAGGAUCUGAAGACAUACUUAACUGGACUUGCUUAAGGAAAGUUAAAUCAACAGUCAAUGUUGAUUUUAUUGCUCAAAGCUGAAAUUGUUCCGGCUUCAAGAGAAUCAUUCUUUGUUACUCAAAAGCUGCAUCUCCUUCUUUUGGUGCAAGUUAAGAACGUCUAGACAAGGCAUCGGAUAAACCUUGUUGUUUUUCUAGCCGAUAAGUAAUGAUGAACUCGAAUCUUGAUAAAGACAUGCUUCAACGAGCUUGGCGAUGAUUUAAUACGCGUGCUGACAUAAAAUAUUCGAGGUUCUUGUGAUCCGUAUACACGGUGACUAGACUAGAAGCACCUUCUAGAUAAUGACGCCAUUUUUGAAAAGAAUCCAUAAGUGCAAGAAGUUCUUUGUCGUGGAUCUCAUAAUUGAUUUCUGUUGCUAAGAAUUUUCUUGAAUGAAAGGCUACUGAAUGAAGUUUGUCAUCUGUUCCCAUUUGUGAUAAAAUCGCACCCAGAGCAAAGUCUGAUGCAUCUGUUUCCAUAAAGAAUGCUUUGAAAAAAUCAACACGAUACAAGAUUGGUGAAGAAACAAACGUUGUCUUUAAAGAUUCAAAAGCAACUUUCGCUUCUUGAUUCCAUUGGAGUUUGUCUUUACAAGUCAAACGUGUAAGUGGAGUUGCAACUCGAGAGAAGUUUUUGAUGAAGAUCCGAUAGUAGUUGGCAAAUCCCAAAAAACAUUGGACAUGUCUUACCAUUUUUGGGAUCUUCCAAUCUAUAAUAGUUUAAACUUUCUUAGGAUCCAUCAUAAGUCCAUCAUUUGAAAUGAUGUAACCUAAGAAAUCGACUUGAGUAGUGUAGAAUACACACUUUUCUAUCUUGGCAUAGAGUCUUGCAUCUCUUAAUUUUUGUAACAUACGACGAACAUGAAGUUCAUGUUUUUUUGGAUUCUUAGAAUAGAUCAAGAUGUUGUCUACAUAACAGACCACAAAAUCGUCCAAAAACUCUCGAAAAACAUCAUUCAUUAGAUGUUGAAAAGCUACUAGUGCAUUUGUAAGUCCAAAAGGCAUGACGUUGUAUUCAAAAUGUCCAUACCUAGUUCGAAACGUAGUCUUCCAUUCAUCUCCUUCUUUGAUGCGUACUAGAUUGUAUGCUCCUCGAAGAUCUAUUUUUGUAUAGAUCUUAGCUUAAUUCAGUUGAUCAAGAAGUCCGGAUAUUAAAAUUAGUGGAUACCUAUUUUUGAUGGUAAUCUUGUUGAAUCCUCGAUAAUCAAUACACAUCCGCAAUGAUCCAUCUUUUUUCUUCACAAAUAGAAUUGGAGCUCUUGCCGGAGAUUUAGAAUGGCGUAUGAAAUUCUUGGCUAGAUUUUCUUCAACAUACUCCUUGAGUUCAGCCAACUCAUUUUGUGAUAAACUAUAGAUUGGUCCGAAUGGUGGUUGUGCUCCUUCUUGAAGGUCAAUUGAGCAAUUAUAGGGAUGAUGUUCUUGGAGUGUAUCCGCAUUCUUUUUUUCGAAUACAUCUUGAAAUUCUUGAUAUUGGCUUGGAAUGCCACUUGAAGUCUUUUCACUAGUAGAAACGGGUAUAACAUAAAUAAUGUAUGGUGAUUCUUUCAUAGCAGCAUGCAAGAAAGCUUUUGCACCUAUAAAUAUGAGUUUAAUUGAACUGGACUUAUGACUCUCUACUUGCUUAACUACACUGUUAGUUAUACUUUUAGAGAAAGUGAGAGUUCGAGAAAUCCAGUCUAUUUGAUGGUUGUAUUUUUCUAACCACGAUAAACCUAAAAUGACUAGAUUAGAGGGAGAUCUAAUGAUAUUAAAUACUACAAAACUAUUAUGACCAUUGAUUAUUACUUCUAUAGGAAGGAUUUCGUGAGUAAUAUCUCCAGAAGACAAUGGACGACCAUCUAUGACUUCUACAUGAACAGGUUUAUUUUUCUUUACUAAAGAUAUGCUAUGUCUUUUAAUAAAUUCUUCAUCUAAAAAACACGCUGAGGCUCCUGAAUCUAACAAGGCAGAGACUUUGUAAUGUUUAGGUCCUAAAAUAACAUUUAAUGUAAAACAAAGAGAGGGCUCUGAGGAGAGAAUAGGACCUUUACUAGAAGUUGUGCAAGGUUCGAGCCGCACGGUCCCUAUUGUAGCUGGACAAACUCGUUUUUCGACAUAUUAUCUUCUUUCACAGCCAUACUCCUCAUUUUGUGAUUGCGUCAUUUUUUUGGACAAUGUUGAAUAGUGUGCUUUGGUUCUCCAUAAUAUAAACAUAAUCCUUCUUGACGACGACGAGUCUUUUCUUGCUCAGUAAGAGGUUUGAAACGUACUGCAUCAAUUUGUAUAUAUCCUCUACUUCCGAAUGUAUGUGUUGAAGAUGUUGGUGUUGCCAUUGAAUUAUAGUAACGUUGAGGUGCACUUAUACGGUUCUCAGAUCGAAAUUCAAAAAGGCGAUUGUUGCACUUCACAGCAAAGUCAAUUGCUUGACUCAAUGUUUGAGGAUCAAAUAAGUUGAGCAUUAAUUUUUUUACCUCAUAUUGUAAUCCGUAGAGAAAUUGGCUAAUAAGUGCAUUAUCAUCCCACUUGAUAUCAGUUGCAAGUUGUCAAAAUUGUGAAGCAUACAACGUUAUUGAUCAAUUGCCUUGUUGUAAAAUACGGAUCUUAUUGGUUGCAACACGAAUUGCAUCAUGUUCUCCAUACAUGGAUCAAAACUCCGCCAAAAAAGCCUCUAGAUUAUCUAAUAUUGGAUCUCAUCUUUCAAGAAAAGAUGAAAACUACGAUAGUGCCGAACCUGAAAGAAGCCUACCAAUGAAUCUAACUUGUGAUCCUGGAGUUGGAUAGCUUUGGGGUUGAAGUUCAAUCACAAAUUACACUUGAUUGAUAAAUCCUCAAAACUUGGAUCUGGUGCCAUCAAAUUUCUCGGGUAGGACAAUUCUUGGUUCUCUAACAUUUGAAGGGCAUUCCACCAUAGGAAAAAGGACAUGGUUUGGUACAAAUGUUGAAGCAGCUCCAACCAUUUCUAUAUCUUCACUUCCUGCCAAUCUUGUUGCUCUUUGUGGUGGUAAAUUGAGUUGAUGCAUUGCAAGCAUUAACUCUCUCAGUUGCUCUUGCAUUUGUACCAUUGCACUCUUCAUUUCAAGAAGUUCUGCCAUGAUAACACUUAGAAGAGAGAAGAUGUCUAAUAUCACUCAAGAUAAAUAGAAGAGAGGACUUGGGGACAAAGAAAAUACUAAGGACAAUAUCAAUUUAGAAGAGGGUAAUUCGCAACUUCUAAUACGCUUAUAUCUUAUCAAGAAAAAGGAGUAAUCCACUCUUAAUCAAGAUUAGACAAAGCUCUGAUAUUGUAGGUGUACUCUUGUCAAUCUAUCAAGGAUAAGAACUCGAUGAAAAACAAUUCAGACAAGUGAGCCUUCACUCAAAGAGAGGUGACAAAAUAUAAAUAAACAAGUAUAUAUAUUGAAAGAGAAACUGGAAUGGCUAUUGUCAAAAGACAAGAAAAUUAGAGACCCUUGAAACUAGACUAGAAGCAAGAAAGGAGUUGACAAGAGUGAAGAAGCCUUCACUCUUGUCUCUAUAUAUACUAUCUAACUAGAGGCUACGUGGCGACGUUCUAUACGACCUCUAAUAUGUGUUGACUUUGUAGGACACAUGCCUUGACUUACAAGGCAAUUUUUUCUACGUGUGGGCCACAUAGUUAGCUUGAUCUUCAAGCUAAUAACAUGUGUGGCACAUGGCCAACUUAUUGACCACGUUUCUAAUCCAAAAAGUCAAUUAAAGAUACCUAUGAAGUCAAAGCAGCGUCUAGAAAGCUUCCAAGAAGCUUCCAUAUUAAAUAUUAUAGAAUUAACUUACUUUUACCUACUUUUACUUACUUCUAUCUAUUUCUAUAUGUAAUUAUUAGCUUACAUGAUUAUGGCCGUGACAAGAUAUUACAUAGAAUCUUCUAUGCUUUUGAAAGUCUAUUGCAAGCAAUUACAUGUGAAAAGUUGGCAUCAUCCAAAUUUGAUGCAAUCAUAUCAAAAGCCUUUCUUUCAUGACAUUUAUACUCCUUCUUUACCUUGACAUCAACAUUAUUGCUUAGAGGUUCUUGACUUUUAUCAAUAAUAUCCUAAAAAUCUAAUGAAGAAAAUGGAGCUUUUUUUAUCUUUGAAGGUAUGAAUCAGCUUAAAUAACAUCAUUUUAAAGUGAUUGAUACCUUCAAAGUCAAUGAAUACACUUAAUAAUUUAUAAGAGACAAAAAAACAUCAACAACUAAAUACAAAAAAAGUUCAAAAGAUAUCAAAUUCUAAAAUCAGCAACUAUAAGUUUUAUUCUUUACAACAAGAAAGACUUCAAAGAACUUCAAAAUUCAUAACUAAAGGUGAGUGGAUCCAUAACCUAUUGAAGAAAAAGAACUUUGAAGUUACCAAUACAUAACAUCAGCAAGAUUGCUCACAAAAAGUGUAUAGAAUAAGAUAUCUCUUAAUUCCAACACCCAUUACUUAUAAGUAGUGGUUACUACCUAUGAGUCAUCAAAUUGACUCACUAGUAAUUUUAAGACAAAAUAAUACAUGUAGAUUUUCAAAAUUAUAAUUAUUAGGUGAAGAUAUACUUAAAAGAUGGUAAAUGAAGGAAAAUAGUAUUAAUGGAGAAGAAAUAAAGUCUUAGUAAGUCUUAGAGUUGGUUUAGGAUUUUUACUUAUUGUUGAAUAGUGAGGAUUAGUUACUAGGGUCAAUAUUUAUAUCGGCCUUCUAUCUAUAUAUAUUACUCAUAAGAAAAACUAUAAAUAUUAGUUAGUAGUUAAAAGAAGCAUAAAAAAGAACCUCAUGUCUUUUCAAUUAAUUAUAUAAAAAUUAGGAUUUAUAAAAAAUAUAAAUUAAUUUUAUUACUAUAAAAAUCAUCAAGAUAGAAGAUUAUAACCUUCAACUGAUAUUAAAAUAUAUUGAACCAUUAUAGGAAUUUUUUUAAACAAUAGAAUUUAUUUAGAGUUUUUUUGGAAGUUUUAGGGUUAUUUCCUAGACUUUGGUAAAAAUGAGUUUUAUCACUUCGAGAGCCAUUAUGAAGAAAUGGAAUAAGAUUUGAAGGCUAAUCAAGAUCUCUAGCUAAUAGGAUGUUUUUAAACACUAUAGUGAAGUCAAAAAUGCAAAAAAAUAAGUUUUACUAGUAAAAAAUAAGAGGACCAGCAGCUAGUCUAGUCUUUAUACGGGAGGAGGUGUACAAAUCCCAUAUGGGUUGUAGCACCUUGGGUAUAGAUAGGAAGAUAAGAAUCAGGCAUCAAGGCCUCUUUAGACAACCAAUAUACAUUAUUUGUAAGCCUUGGUGAGGCUUGAAUUCUUGAUCUCUUAAAGUAAGUUAUCUUUGAGGUAAAAUUAUUUAUUUAAUAUUUCAUUCAUUUACUUGUUAUUUUUCAAACCUUCAUAACUUAUUCAUAAUAACUCGGACUUAUAUGUUUCUUACAUCAUUGAAAAAAUAAAAAAUUAAAUUUCUAAAAAUAGAUUUUUUACUUUUAAUUUUUAUUGGGUGAAAACUUAGCGAACAAACUGUGACUAGUUUUAUAAUGUAUAAUUGUUUGAUUGUACUUAUUCCACUUAUUUUGUGUUUUGCUUCUUUUUUUCUUAUUCUUGCUACUUUCAUGUCACACCACGUAUUACAAGCAACUCUUAAUUGAGGCCAUUUUAUAAUUAAAUUAAGAAGUGAAUUUUAUACUUAUACUACUUUAAUAGAAAACUUCUAUUAUUUGAUGAAUACAUCCAUCUAAUAUUCUAUCAAGACUAUUCAUUGCUAUCUAAUCUACUAUAAGAAUAUACUUUUAAUAUAUUUUCUAUAUUCUUAUGAUUCUUGUUAGUAUAAAUUUCAUUCUUUAAUUUUAAUUAUAAGAUGGCCUCAACUAAGAAUUUCUUCUAAUUGGUGGUGUGAAGUGAAGUAAGCAAUUGGCAAAAAACCAAAAAAUAACAACCACAAUAUAAGUGAAAGAAAUGAAAUCAAGUAAUUAAAAUACCCAAAACUAAAUCACAGUUUGUUUGUUGGAUUUUUAAAAAGUAAAAGUAAAAAUAAAAAUAUAUAUUUUAAAUAGUUAAUUUUUUUUAUCUUUUCAAUGAUAUAAAAAUCAUAUAAUUUCAAGUUACUAUGAAUAAAUUAUGAUAUAUUAAAGAUAGAAUGUAAAUAAUAAAAAAGUUAAGUGAAUAAUUUUUAAUUCAAGGGUAACUUGCUCAAGAAAUCAGGAAUUUGAGCCUCACCAAGACUCACAAGUAGUGUAUAUAGAUUGUCUAAAGAGGCUUUGAGGCCUUAGUCUUAUCUUCCUACCUACAUCCAAGGUGCUACAAUCCAUAUGAGAAUCGUGCACCUCUCUUCCUAUAAAGACUAUACUAACUGCUGGUCCUCCUAUAUUCUUUAUAAAUGCAAUAUUAUUAAUUACUAUAGAUUAAAAAAACCGAUCAAAGAAGACAUUUUACUAAAACAAGUUUAAACCAAUUAAAGUAUGAUUGUUUUAUAACCAUUUAAAAAAAUAAAACGCAUAUCAGUUAUCUUCAUUAAAUAUUUGAUAAAAAAAUAUAUUUAAAAUACUUUAUUCAGUUUUUUGAAGCCUCUAGAUAUCAUAAAAUAUUAAAUUUAAUUUUAUUAUUUUCCUACCUCUUCUUCUAAGAAAUGCAAGUUUUUUUAGCAAUAGAAGAUAAAACCUUAAGAAAAAUUAAAAAUCAAAUAUAAUGGAUUUUUUCAAAAAAUAACUUGUUAUAACUACAUUGCAAAAUAUAAAGACAUAAAAGAAAUUGAAAUGAUUUUUAUUGGCUUAUUAAUUACAAAAAUAAAACAUAAGAGAAACAAUGAUAGAAAUUUUUAAAUAAAUAAGCUUAUAUCUAUAAGUCAAUGGCACAUAUAAUUAUAUAAAAAUAAAGCUUAAUAUCCUUAAAUUAAAAAGGACAUAGCAUGACAUUAGAAUAUCAUGAGAAUUUUUCUGUAAGUUCAACAUAAAACUAAAAAUACUUUAAGAGAUAUUAAAUUUUAAAAAAUCAAAAAACAAACAAAUCACUCAAAUAAAACAAGAAAAAAAUCAUUAAAGUUCCUAAAGAAUCCACAAUAUACAUGUAAUGACUAUUACUAAAAAGUUAAUUGAUGUGGCACCAAAAAGUUUUAUAAGAUAAUUUCUACAUUAAAACUAAUGAAGAAAGUUUUUACUUGUAAGAUUCAAAUCCCAGUAUAAGUAUGAAACUAGAAUCUAUUUUUGAUUUUUUUGAUUUUUUUUUAAUUGAAUCCUUCUAAAAUCAAUUAAAAUUAAAAAAGUGUUUAAUAGUAGAUUAUAUCAAUUUUUCAUUGCUAUCUCUAAUUCCAUUUUUUACAUAUAAAAAAAUUAUUUUUACACUUUCAAAAAACUUUACUACAAUUUUAACCUCAUUAAGUAAGAUCUAUAGAAAAAAAAACUAUUAUCUAUUAAAAAUUAAAAUAAAACAAAUCUAGACUAAUAGUCUACUGAUUGAUUACUUUGUAUAUACAAAUUUUAACUACAAUAGAAGAAAAUUUAAUUGAAAAAUUAGAGAAGAUUAUAAAAAUUAAAAUUAAACAAAAUAUUUGGUGAUAUUUUUUUAUUACCUUAUAAAGUAUAUCAUAAUUUGAUAGUUAGAAAUAAUUAAUUUAUUAUAUUAGAAUAUAAUAAAAUUUAUACAACCUUUAAAAUUAAAAUAUGUCAUAUCUUGCGACUUUAUUAAAAAUAAUUAUGAAUAGAAAUUUUUUAUACUAAUAGUAUUAAAUUAUCAAAAUUUAUAAAUAUAAAAAUUGAUAAAUUAUUCUUUAAAGUAGCUACAAUUGAUAUAAUAUUAGUCUAUUUAGAUGAUUUUGUUUUGAUCUUCUUAAAUUUCUAGUAUAUAUUUGUAUUGAAGAAAAAAAAAAGAAAUAAUCACAAAUAAGAUGGUAACUAAUAAAAUGUAUAUUAAAAUACAUCUCACUUCUAUCAUCUUUUAUUUAUAAAUAAAAAAUAUACACUAACAUAUUUUAUUAUUAGUUAUCAUAAGAUCCUAUUCAAUAAAGAUUACUUUUUAAUGAAAUGUUUUAAAAUCCUUGUUAUUAAUAACUCUAACUAUUAUCUAUAUCAAAACUACUACUUGUCUUACAAAUAAAUGCAAGAUUUAUAUUAACAUUCAAAUUAUAAUAAAAUAACUUUAUAUUUUGUAGAAAUUUUUAUUUCAGAUAAGCAAUUGUAGAUUACUUGAUUUAAUGUCUAUAUUUUUUGGUAUUUUUUAUUUUUAAAUGUAGAUCAUUUUAGAUAGAAGAAAAAUAAAAUAUCGAUCCUCUACUUACAAAAACUACCAAUAACUUUUCAACUAUUAAAAAUUCAUAAGAUCUUAUUAAUAAUAUUUGAGUAGAAAUCUCACAUAAUAGUAAUUUCAACAAUAAAAGUAUUAUUAUUAUAUCUAAAAAAUAAUAAAAUAAUAAAAUUUUAUUUUUGCAUCAAAAAGUUAUGUAAUAAAGUAAAGCAUCUACAAGAAUAUUAUUUCCUUGAGUUACGAAAUAUUACUAAUAUAAGUAUAAAAAUUAAUAGAUUAAUACGUAAAUUAAUUUAGAUAGAAAACUAUUAAAAGUUUGAUAAAUAUUUUUUCAACAAGUCAAAAUCCUCUUAUAUUUAUAUUAUUUUUGAUAUUCUAAUAGUGAUAUUUAAAUGAAUUUUAGAGAUAUUUUUUAAAAUAUAUUUUAAAAUUAUUUUUGUUUGAUAAAAAAAUAUUUGUAAUUAAGUUAUGACUUAAAUUUAUUCUUGGAGGCAUUUAAUUAUUUUUUAAAAAAUAUAUAAAAUAAUAUCAAAAAUAAAUCCAUAUUCUUUGCAAUACAAAUCAUGUUGUUACAAUGUGUGAAAUUUAGUCUAGAAAUGCACCAGGCAUUAAGUUGUAGAAGGGUUUUAAUUUACCUUGAAGUUCUUCUUGUAAUGAAAAAUUAAGGUAUGAAUUAUUUAGAAACACAUCUCUAAGAAAUUUAAUGCUUUUAAAAAUAUUUAAGAAAAUCAAUUCUUAAGUCAAUGAAUUUUAAAUUAUAUUCUUAUCAUUACCUGCCUUAUUUCUAAAUGACAUACUUUAAAUAAUUUUCAAGGUCAUUUACAUGUCUUUUAUUCAUCUCUAAGAUAGUUGAAUGUAUUUCAAGCUUAAAGAUAUGACACCUACUAAUACUUUACUUUAAAAGCCAUUAUAAUUUUCAUCUUCAGAUAGCUUUACUUAAAUAAAUUUUAAGGUUAUUAAUAUUUUUUAUUUGUAAGAUAGUUGAGUGUGUUUUAAUACUUCUUAAAUCAUAAAAUGGUUUCUAUUUAAUAUUUUAAUACCAUUUUACUUGAUCUUUAUUUAAUUUUUUUAAUCAUAAAUUAUUAUCUCUACUUGAUAUAUUUAAAGAUCAAAUGUAGUAUUUACUUAUUGAUUUUAAACUAUUCUACUUAAAAUCUUUAAAAAAAAUCAAACAAUCUUAUAUCUUAAUUAAAUAUCAAAAAACUAAAUUCUAAGUAAUUUCUAAUGAACCUUAAAGAGCCUUAUUUAGAUCUUGACUGAAUUUUAAAGAAACUCUAAUAAAAUCCUAAUAAGAUAUAAUAAAUCCUAAGUAUAUCUAAAAAUAAAUUCAAAUCUUUGUAACUUUUAAAUAAAUCAUUGAUUUUACAUCAAAUUUUUCAAAAAUUUUAAACUUGUAAGCACAAUAAAUAGAUUAUAAGUUAUUUUAGUAUUAAUAUUUUUUAUUUUUUGAAUUAUAGAUUUUUUUUAUCUAAUUAUGUUAAAAAUGAUGUCAUAAGCAAGUUAGAAGUAAGUUAGAGGAAAUUUAGGAGUAAAUUCAGUUCAAUUCAAUUUAUCAUAUUCAUAAUCUACAUAAGUAUUAUUGAUUCUUAUAGAUUAAGACAUGUGAGUUGUCAAUUCUUACUAGAAAAUAUGUUCCAAACACAAUUAUAAAGCUAUUGGGCCAAAAAAAGUAUUCAUAGGAUUUAUUUGAUAGCCAUCAUUUUUUAUCUCGGAUUUUGUUUUUAAAUUUUGAUCUUAGAUUUUAAUCCUUAGAUAAAUGAAGGCCUAGAAUCUUAAUUUGGGCUCUUUGAGAUUCAAAAGUAGAGAUGUAACUAUCAUCUUUAGGUCUUAAGGCAAGAAUAUAAGAGGUCUCAUGGGAUCAAUAAGUCACAACCUUCUUCUUUUUUCUUGAUGGAUAAAGCCAUGAUAAUUGUUUUAUAUGGUUACUACAAUUUCUUUACAUGGCUUUGGUCUUUUUUAGUUUUUUAUUUGAGUUUUUAUAAUGAGUUUUUUAAAAUUUAAGCAAGGGUAGAUAUUUUUGUUGUUAUAUUUUAAACAUAAAAAACUUAGAGUUUAGAGUUAGAUAAGAAAGAGCCCUUUAAUUAAGAAAGAUGGUAUAUUGCCUUCAUAGUUUGGUAGUUCGAUUUUGGAGGAUUUUUGUUUAUUGCUUAUUAACUGGAAAGAAAGAAAAAAAAAAAAUAUUAAAAAAUUCAUGAAAUCUGGUUUUCAAAAAGUUAAGAAUUGAUUACAUUAGAGCCAAGAUGUAGUAGAAGUAAUGAUUCGUGUAACAAAGGAUUUGAUGCCUUUGGAUUCAAGUGGCCAAAUAAAGUAUCAACUUUGGAAGACAUGAUUAAUAGCAUUAAGGCAACUCAAGGGCUUAGCUUGGAAGAAGGUACUAUUUGUAGUCAAGAUUUUAAUAAGCUCAAGAUUAUUCAAAGAUAAUUAGAAACCAAGCCAUGGUACUUCAAUUUGUAGAAGAGAAUCUAUUGUCUUGCCAAAAUAAAGUAUCAACUUUGAAAAAAAAUAUUAAACACAUAAGAUCAAAUUUAAAAGAAAAAUAUAAAAGAGAAGUAUCUUUAAGUCUUUUUUCUAAUAAGACUAAUUAAUUUUAAUAUAGAGCUCAUAAUCAAUUGUGGUACAUUAAUUUUUGAAGGUAGAUGCAUUAAUAGCUUUAAAUUUCUUAGAAAUGUUCAAUCCCUUUAGUUUACUUUAAUGAUGUUGUUAAUUUUAUAGUUAAUUAUUAUAGAUAAAUCUUAUAUAAAAGAUUAAAAAGGAUGUAGAUAUCUAUUUAGAUAAAUGAUUAAAUCAAUAAAUUAAAAUUUUGAUGGAUGUAAUAUGUGGAUGAAAUUAUCAAUUUGGAUAUGAUAUAUUUUGUGGAUAAAAAUUUGAGAUAAUAUCUAUUACACAAAUUAGAUGAAUAUAUAUUAGAUGAAUGUAAAUUGAAAGGACGUAUAAACCUUGAUUAAUUUAUAAAUUAAUAAUUUAUAAAAUUAUCUACAAAAUAUAUCAUAUUAUUAAUUUAUAAAUUAAUAAUUUAUAAAUUUAUUCACACUAUUAUACAUAAUAAUUAAUUUAGACUAAUUGAUUAAUAUUAAUUUGUAUCUAAUAAUUUUUUUAUAUUCAAUUAAAUGAAAUUAAUUCCAUUAAAAUUUUCAUAUUUAAAAAAAUAUAAGAAAUUUUAAAAAAAUCAUAUAUAUUAAUUAAAAAUAAAUAGAAUAUUUUACUAAAAUACUAGACAAUAUCCCUCUCCAACCUUAAUGUUGAUCUUUUAAUCUUAAGAUAUUUCUCUUAAACUAUAAAUUUUCUUCCAAAAUUUAUAAUUUUUUUGUUGUUCAUGUUAAAUAUUAGUCUACUAAUUUUUGUUUCAAUCUAAUUGACUAAUCACUACAAAUCUUGAAAAUCCUAGAUAACCUUUAAAUCUCUAAUUUCUAAUAUUCUAUCUACCUAGAUUCUAUUAAUUUUUAAUCUAAUUUUCUAUAUAAAUUCAAAAUUUAUGAUACAUUUAACACAAAUAUAUUUACAAAUGUUAAACAUUUCACUUAUAGAUUUGCUAUAAAACUCACAAAAUACUCCAAAAUAUAAAUUCUACUUUAUUUUUUAAAAAUGAAGACUUUCAAAUCCAAUCUAGAUUUUUGAUGGCUCUUACAAUGAUACUACAAACCAAAACACCUUAAAAUUAAAAUUUAUAAAAUCUUUUUUAAAUUCUCUCUCUAAUUUUACUAUUUGAUCAAAAAAAGAAGCUUGCAUUUGCAAUAGGUGAGUAAUUUUGUGCCUUUAGAUUUGGUUCCAACCUUGUUUCAUAACCGAUUAUCUUUAGGUAUCAAUCCAAUUCUUCUUAAAUAAUUUCUAGUAGAAUCUAUCUUCUAAUUCCACCUAAAAAUGCUUGUUGUAUUAAUUUUGCUAAUCAACCUUGUUUUUCCUUUUUUAUGAUCUUUCAAAGUAUGUAGAACUUCUUUUAACAAAUAGAGCAAUAUAGACACUAUUUUUCUAGUUUCUUCUAUUUUUUAUUUAUAAUUUUUAAAGUAAUUUUUAAUUAUAUUUUUAAUGAAUUCUUUUAGGAUUAUUGGUCUUUAGAUAUUCUUUCAACUAAUUGAUGUAUCACAAUAUAACAAAAUUCUAAUAACUUAUUUGUAAUGUAAUUAGCAUAUUAAAACUCUUAAUAAUAAAUUUUGAUAUGAUUUAAAAGAUAAUAUCAAAGAUAUAUUAUUAAUAAUAGAAAAAUUAGAUUUAUUGGAGAAUUUCAUUACUUAAGUAAUUGCAUACAAUAAUCAUCUCAUUAAGAAUAAAGGUUUAAUUAGAAAAGAAAAUAUAUAAUUAUGACAAUAACUUCUAGAAAUCUAAUAACUAAUUUUAUUAAACCAAAAUAUAUAUAUAGAUUGAGAAAAUUUAAUUUAAGUAGUUAAUUUAAAAUUUUAAAAAAUAUUAUCUUAAAUUAUUAUUUUAUAUUUUAUAAAAUUAUGUUAUUAAUUAUAAAUUUUUUAUACAAAAUCAAAUAGAUUUAAGACUUAAAAUUUUAAUUUUUAAAAAUUAAAAAUAAGUUAAAAAUAUUAUCAUUAAAAAAACCUCGAAAUUAGACCAAAAUCAUGAAAUAUAUAUCUCAUAUUAAUAUAUUUUAUAAAUAAAGAUUUUAGAUUAUAAUACAAAUUAUAAAUAUUAAAGAAAUUUUGAUCAAAUAUAAUAGAAGUAAUUGACAUACAACCUCUUGCAUUUAAAAUUAUUAUAAAAUAAACCAAUCUAUUAAAAUAAUAUUACAAUAAUAUGUAUUAAAAAAAUCCUAUACUAUUUAAUAUCCUUUCGAUUCAAUGGUAUUUAGUUUAUUUUUAUUUAAAUUAUACAAUCUUAAUAUAUCGUAGAAAUUACAAAUAUUUACUUUAAGAUUUAGUUCAAAAGUCAAAAAAAAAUUUCAAUCUAUAUUUGUUAAAGCUAAAAAAUUUAUGCAAGUUGUAAAAAAAUAAAAAAUAAAAAAUACAUAAACAAUAUCAAGUCCUCAUUUAAAUAGAAUUUACAAAUGAACAUUAGUAUAUUAUAAGAUAUAUCAAGAUAUAUUUGAGAUUUUUUUCUUUGAUAUGUUAUCAUAUUAUUAAUCUUAUAAUUACACAAUUAAUCUUCAAGAAGAAAUUCAACUACUUUUUAGAUCAAUUUAUAACUUAUUAAAAAUUUAAUUUGAAAGAAUAUAUUAAUAAAAAUAUAAUAAAGAAUUUUAUCCAAUAUUUAAAAUCUUAUAUAAAUAUUCCGAUUUUUUUUGUGAAGAAAAUAUUUAGAUCCUUAUAAAUGUAUAUAAAAUGUUGAAAAUAAAAAAAAUCAACCAUUAAGUGUUAUUAUAAUUUAAUUUUUAUAUUAAAGCUUUAAACUAAUUGAAUGAACUUAUAAUUUAUAUUAAAAUAGAAAUAUUUGAAGUAUAUUAUAUAUUACCAAUCUUAUACUAUUAGUCAUUUAAUAUUAUUAUUAGUGAAAGGAUUGGCUCUUGGAAUAUAGCAAAAUCAUCUUAUAGAUAAACGACAAUAUCAAGGGCUAAGAAAUAAGGUAAAGAGGAUAAAAGAUCUAUUAGAAAAUAUUCAAAACAUAUAUAAGACCAUAAAGUAUAUGUCAAGAUAUAUUUUUGUGGUAGAUGAAAUUUCGAAGAAUAUUUUAGGUACAUCCAAUAAUAGAUGUAAAAGUGAAGGUAUGGAAAUUCUCUGUAAAAGCAUAAACUACAAUCUAUAAGUAAAGAUUUUUAGAAGUAAGAGUCAUCUUAUUCCAUACUUCUCUUUGUAUGCAACCUUGUUGAUACUAAAUAUUACGACUUCUAAUUUAUUUUAUUUUUUUCAGAGAUAAAUAUAUUAUUUAUUACAUAUUUAAAAAUAAUUGGAAUAUAUGUAAGUCCAAAAGAUAUAAUAGUAUAUUCAAAGCAACCAUAUUUAAUUUGAAAGAAACCCCUCUAUUAAAUAUAUAUAUCUUUGAUUGUCACACUUUAACAAAAUUGCCUCCAGUUGCACACAUCCAAUGUCCUCCAAAACUUGUCUUAGUCAAAUUUUUGUCAAGGACAAAAAACACAAAAAAUCAAAAACUAAAUACACUCUUGUGUCACUAAAAGAAGAGUAGAUAAUGAUUCAAAGAUGAUAUAAUAUUAAACUAGAAUAGUUGUUGCUAAAGACAAGAAAAACUUGAAAUUCUUAAAAUAAAACUAAAAAUAAGAAAAGCAUUGACAAGAAUAAAGAAGACUUCACUCUUAUUUCUAUAUAUACUAUCUAACUAGAAGCUAUGUAGUGAUGUUGUUGUGUGGUAAUAUGACUAUAUGGUGAAAGAAGAAAGGAAAGAUUAUAUUAUAGAAGAGCUUAAAUAAAAUUACUUUAGAAAAUUAUCUUAGAAAUAUAGAUAAUAGAUGAAAUAGUAAAAAAUAAUAAAUACUCAUGUUGCCUUCUUAAAGAAGAGACUUCUACUUACUUUGUAGGAACAUAAAUGAGCCAAAUAAAAAUAAAUGAGAUAAAUAUUAAUAUUGGUAUUUUAAAAAAGAGAUUAAAAAUAGAUUUUGGUAAAAACUAUUUCAUAAUAUGAAGAAUUGAUACCUAAAAUAGACCAAUUGUGAACUAAGAUUAAAAUAAAAUAUUAAGAGACAAAACUAUGCAGCUACAAUAAUUUUGAGGUUUUUUAAUUGAUUGAAGAGCAAAAAUUGAGAGAAGAUUGUGAGAAGAUUUUUAAGAGAUGGUUUUAUGUGAUUUAAAGGCAUAUUGAGGUUUUGAGAGCUUUUCAAAGUGAGAGAUAUAUUCAAUGGAUUUGGAUUUUAAGAAAUAAAAAGAAGUUCAAAAAAUUAAUACUUUUAUGAGUGUUGUAGCAUAUUUAUAGGUAAAAAUUAGUGAAUUUGUCACUGUACUUGUUUUAAAUGUAUGAAAAAUUUUUGAUAUUAAUUAUAUGAUUGGAUUGAAGGUUGUAAAAGUUUUUGUGGAUUAUAGUCUUAAAUAAUUGAAAUUUAGGAUUAAUGAGGAUUUUUGAAAAAUUGCAACAUUUACUAGUUCAAUUGAAGCAAAAAUUGGUGAGAGCCAUUAAGACUUAAAAAUUUACACAAAAAUGAGAUUUUGAUACAAUUAAAUAGUUUAGAAAAUAGAAAUUUUUAUUGGAAGCUCAAUGUUCAACUUUGAAAAGAAAGGUAGCCAACAUUCAACACGUUUUGAGAGCAUUGCUUUCAAUUGGCAAGUUCAAUUCUUUUUAAAAUUUGUGUGCUUAUCAAUUAUGUAUAGAUUGAAAUCUAAAUGAAAUUUUAAUGAAGAUUAAUUAUUCAAUUAAUUUUUUAUUAAAAUUUUAAAAUAUAUAAAUUUAUUGAUUAAUAUUUAUUUAGGAUUUUCUUGAAAAUAUUUAGGUUUUGAUUUGGAUUUGAUUAGGAUUUAGGAUUUUAUUAUGAUUGAAUUAAGAUUUAGUUAAGGUUUAGAAUUUUAUUAGGAUUUGGUCUAAGAUUUUAUUAAGAUUUUAUUAUGAUUUUAUUAGAAUUUUAUUAGAUUGUUUUUAGGAUUUUUAGAGCUUUAUUAUAAUUUGUUUAGGGCUUCAUUAAGAUUUAAUUAGUAUUUAUCUAAAAUUUAUUUAUCUUUUCUAUUUUUAGUAUUUUAAUUUUUAAUUUUUUUUAAAAGAUUUUUUUUUGGAUUUUUUUGGAUUUCUUUAUUAAUAUUUUUUAAAAUUAGUUUAUGACUUCAUUAUUUUUCUUUUGUAAUUUCUUUUAAAUAUCUUUUGGAUUGAUUAAAGUUUGAUUAAGGUUAUUAGUGAUUAUUUAGAGUUUAUUUAAGAUUCUAUUAAAUUUAAUAAGCUCUUGUUGUUGUAUUUUUUAUUUACCUUCUACAAUUAGAUACUUGAUGCAUUCUCAAGUUUUUUUACAAUUGAAUUAAGAUUUGACUCUAAUUUUUAAGGUUAAAUUAAGGUUUCUUUAUAAUUUUAUUAAGAUUGUUAAGUUCUUUCUUUAUUGCAAAUACAAUCUACCUUCUACAAUAAAAUUUAUAAUGCAUUUCUAUGUUAGUUUUAUAUAACACAAUAAUAGCCUUUUGCUAGAAUUAAAAACAGAUUGUGUUUUUAUAGUUUUUUUUUUUUUUUUUUUUUUUUUAAUUUAUGCACAACUUUUCAACAAUUACUACAUAUAUCUAAACUUAGAUUGUAGAGAUGUAACAUUUUUGUUUUUAUUAUUAUUAUUUUUAAUAAUUUCUAAUCUUUCAAAAGCUACUUUGAAGAAUUAAUUAUGGUAUUUUUAAUAUAAGAUAAAAAGAAUUUAAUAUAAAAUUUAAAAAAAUUGAACCAAAUCAUAUUUAUAAAAGUCAAAGGAACAUAAGAAAAGAUUGGAUUUCAAUGGAUCUAAAUUUCAAAAUACAUUGGAGUACUUUAAAUAGGAUAUCCAAAAUAGAACACGUUUUUUUUGUACGUCUUAUUUUUGCAGAUUGGGACUCGAUAAAACAUCAACUAUAUCUGAACAUGAUUCUGAGAGCAUUGAAAUCAAUCAAAAAACAUCAAUUUAAUUCAUAUAGAAAUAAUUAAUCAUUUCCAUUAUCAGAUUUAGUGCAUGAGAAGGUUCAUUUACUAAUUUAUUACAAACAUUAAUCAGUUCCCAAGAAUAUGUCAUGUUCCAUGUAUCGAUUCUAUGUAAGAUCAUAGACCUAAACUCCAUUGGGUAUAACCACAAUGAUUCCCACAUAAUUUUUUUUUUAAUAAUCUCCAUCACGCAUGUACUUGGUGUUUGAAUUACACGUUUGCAGAAUUGCCGAUCAUAACAGUAUUUGAGGAAAUUGAUGUAUCCUUAUGAGUCAUGUACAUUCAAACAUUGAAUUAGAAGUUGCAACAGCUGAACUUCAGGAAUGACCUGAGUGUACCAGGGCCUCAGUGGCUUGGUGCCAGAGUUGGAUGAAUGAUAUGCAGCCCAACCAGACGUUAGGGUCCAACCCUCAUCAAACGGUCCAUCUGUUCCAAAGCCCACUUCAUCCAUAAAUCUGUCCAAAUGAGCGGGGGAGGACUACCGACCAGUGUGAACAGGCAGAGUAAAGUAGGAACGGGGGGAAAUAAAAUGUGAGUGACCGCAAUCGUCACAGAUGAUUGAUAUGCAAAAUAGACCAAGACAAACAGCGAGUGUAGAAGGCACAAGAGCGCGAGCGAGAGAAAUAGAGAGAGCGAACCAGGGCGAGUGGCGUCAACUGAGCUCAUCGUACACCUGGCGUCAUGCUAUUCCGCCUACCCCCGGAUGGGAGAGAUGAGGCCAGGUGAGGUGAAGCCCUUCGGUCACGGCGAAACGUUUUCAGCUCCCCUGAAGCAACGGCAACACAGAAAUAAUGGAGGACGGAAGGCGGCCCAGAGCAGAAAGCGUAAUGAUGGGCAGCAGGACGCGACGUCGUGACAGUCAGACUGAGGCGCAGAGAGGGUAUCAGACUUUGCAAUAACUCAGCUCGAGUGCGUCAUCACCACACCCAACGUAUAUUUACAGUCCCUGCUUCCUCAUUACGAGAACUCCGUUACAGUGCCAAUGGAGGCUGCUCACUGGAAUCAGGGCAGCGGAUGGGAGAAGGGCUCUGAUGGGGUAAUGCGUGGGUUAAUCGUGCUGAUGCAAGUAGACGACGAGGGACGAAUCUCCUGUCUCUGAAGCUACCACAGCGGAUAGGCGCUGAAGAAGGACGAGGAUUGCAGGUGCUCUGGGAAGCAAAUACUGGGACCCACGGCCAUACCACGUUCUUCACAUCGGCUCCAAAACACUAGAUGCCAGACGUCGUUAGACUGUACCCAUCCCCGUCACAGAAACCUCUCACUCUGCGCACAUUUCGCUUGCUUAGGUUGCUGUAUGUUACCAGCUACCCGAUCAGCGUCACGCCCCGUUGGGCACAACUUCGCGCGACCAACCGUUGCUCGCACAGUUCGUCCUCAAGCAGAAUUGAUUUUCUACCAUUACGCUGGGAGAUGAGGCGCAAUAGCAGGGGCAAGUACACAAUGAGGCAGCUGGCAUGUUGACUUGAUUUGACCGAGGCGCAUGUCAAAGAGCGAGCAAGCGAGCGAGCGAGAGCGCUGUGGGAGACUUGCGGUACGUCGCUUCGUCCAGUGAAGGAGAGGCCAGAGGAGCAGCAUUACCUUGGUACAUGGUGCAACAACGUCUUGUCAGUCUAGGUCGUGUAUGGUUCCGAGGGGAGGGGCUCAUGUUCAUCACAGUUAUGCAAUAUCGACCAGCUUCGUAAUUGGAUUCCCUAUUCAUCCCCUCAUUGGAUGGUGCCUUCCACAGUCUGACCCCUCCGCCUGCUCCUACUAUCAGACAUCCCGCCUCAUCAAGGCUACCAGUCAGUUGCUGCUGCUGCUGCCUAGAGUAGGUUGACGCAGAUGGGUUAGCAAAACUAAUCUACAUGUGAAAGUGCUGGAGAGACACAGAGAGAGAGAGACAGAGACAGAGAGACAGAGACAGAGAGAGGGAAAUAGAGAGACACACAGACAGACAGGGAUGGUUGCUGCUUGGCGCGAACCUGGGUGGUGCCUGGUAUCUAGGCCAUUAUAACGUUCGACGGGUGUUUCGGUGCUUCCUCUAGUUCCAAUAGCCACGGAGCGCACGCUUCGCAACUGCAGCUGGGUAGUUCACCCAGCCAAGCGCGGCCGCGCAGAGAAUGGUGUGGUUCUCGCCUUUCGAAAUCCAGGCGCUCCCCUUCGCUCCGACGCCGCAUGUAGUUGCUGCACACGCAAUACGUCCAUUGCCGCUGUAACGCCGUAGCAUUAGACGCCCAAUGUCGCUGUUUGCGGUGGUACCUCGGUUAAGAGGAGAGCGUCUUAAAACAUGGCAUGAAGUACAGUCAGUGUAGCUAUUGCUUGCACGACACGCUGACGCCCCCAGUGCGGUGUCCGCGCCGAUAGGAGCGUGGUAAGGGUUGGCCAUGGCGGUGAUAUGAGUGCGGUUGUGAGGUAACGUGUUUGGCCCUUCUGGCAACGGACGCUACAGCAAGCACCUUCUUGUCCCAGCGACGUGGAUUGUGGUCAGUGUUCCGGACAUCCUCGGUAGGGCGAGGUCACAAUCGUGUCCAAUGUUUGAAUGCGCGUAGGCAUCACCAUGGGUUGCAGCGAGAGAUGCGGGCCGAAUGAGAGCGGGACGUGGAUGUGGAGUGUUGAAUGUGUGGUGAGCUUUGAAGCCUUGGUUUCCGUCAUUGAGGUUGCCACAUUGUAAGCGUGGUGUCGCCUGGUUUUGCAGGAACACAGGCAUGCAGAGAUAGAAGAGGUGUGAGUUGUACGGGGAGAUGCACGCGACGUCGGGCUUUGGUGCAAUGCAAUGCGGUUCAGAAGCAGGACGAAAGGUGUGUGGGAUCACCCGCUGGAGGCCGGAUGUGAAUUGAUGCCAACAGCGCAUCGGACGGAGUUGGAAGUAGCUUAGUAUCUGGAGAGGAUUGCCAUGGAUAGACCCGGGUGGGUAGCGGCCCAGCAGCACCACCGGCGGGGGCACAGUAUGGGCGGCGGGGUGAGAGAGAAAGACGAAGAUCUAGCAUUGUUCAAGAACAUGGGAAAGCGGGCGGACCAGACACCCUUUCUGUACCCCGGCAGUGGCGACCAGUUCAUCGAUGCUAACCUAUGUAAGUGUAGUUCUUGCACAUUGUGCAUCCAACCCUGUGGGCGCGUGGGUUCUUCCCGAGCUGGGAGCAUUUUGCACUCCUGGAGUCCAUUUGGACAUCCAGAGAAUUGCAAAAGCGGACCUUUACCUGUUGUAGUUAUGUUUGUUAGGACGAUUCUCAAUUUCUAUCAUCACUUUGAAAGUGACCCCGCGUAUCAUGACUAGGCAGCGAUCACGUUGCCUGUCCCUGUUUUCCAUUUUUUGCUGCACCAGCCGCUGCAGCGAUGGUCCGGCAGGUUGAGAAGUUUGUUCCCUUACAAUCGUGUCAGACCCUCUCCCCUAUCCUUGUCUCCUUCAGUGUCUUGUGCUGCACCAAGAAAAAACGGAAGUUCCUGUAGGAGCAGCAAUUCUGAGGCGAAUGUUUACCUACGCGUUCUUCGAAUAUGAAUACACAGCAGUGAAGUUCCCACAUGACGCAGUUACUGGGUUGGAAAUUACAGCCACUCUAACUUGGGUUGUGCAAUGCAGCUACCAAAUUCGGAGGGUUCUCACACCCACACUCGGCCCCGCCGGUGCAGAGGAAAGGCAUCGGAGCAGAGUUGCUGAACUCGGAUGUCGACAAGACUGACUAUGACUGGUGAGAAUGCUUGUCCACACCUUCCGACCCAUGGUUUGGAGCUGGUGGGAGAAUCCCUGCCUUGAGUGGUUGUAGAGGAAGAUGGGCUAAUUCAGAAUGUUGGUAUUUGCAGGUUGAUGACCCCGCCAGGGACGCCUCUGUUCCCCUCGCUGGAUGCAGACUCGCCGGCGCUGCAACAAGGCAUGAUCGUGAGUCGAUCCCUGGCUGCCAUCAAAACGUCGCGGGUGAGGCGUGUCUCAUUGACCUGAUUCCUUCCAAAGUAGAAACAAAUGUCGAGCCUGCGUGAUAGUGUGCAGCGACGGUCGCGGGUGUGCUCGUCGUUGACAACUUGGUUUGGCGGUGAAUUGCAGGUGAGCGCUGGCGGGCGUGGCGAUGUGGGCGGCGCAAAAGGGAGUAGAGGCAAUCCGAGCCCUGGUCGCAGAUCCAGCACUCCUCAGAGCGGGCAAAGCAGCGCAAGCGCAGUGGCAAGAUCUCAGAACCAGGCCAUGAGCAGAAGUGGCAGCAGCAAUCGGCCCGCCACGCCCACAAGAUCUUCCACGCCUACCUCGAUCAGGGCGUCUCCGAGCAAUCGUCCAUCGACACCCACACGACAGAACAGCGUGGGUGCGCGGCCCGUGACGCCGUUGGGAGCGAGGCCUGCAACCCCGACCAGGAAGCCUGGCACCCCGAGCUCAUCCGCAAGGCCGUCUUCCACGCCCACCCUCCGACGGUCGAGCUCGAGUCCGACGGGGAGCCAAACCCACGGGGGAGUCUCGGCUCGGGGCAAUCCUUCCCCGACGAGGAGCACUGCCAGCACUGGAACCAGCGCGCUGCGGGGAGUAUCUCCUGUGAGAUCCACGAGCAGCCGCGGCGUGUCACCCGUGAGAGGAGUGUCUCCAGCGCCAUCGGCUCGGGGGCGGUCGCCGUCGCCCAGCUUGAGGGCUCCGUAUCCGGUGGACGCGUCGGACGACAUUCCUCCCAAUCUUCGGACCACUUCGGAACGCCCCAGCCCUGCGCGAAGUCGUGGAGCCGCGUAUGGCGCGAGCCCGGGCGAAGCGCCCGGCAGAAGUGCCAGCCCAGCCCCACCGCAGCGACGAACUGCGUCCCCUGCCAGAUCCAUUCGAAGCUCGACGUCGGUGAGCCAGACCGUGGACAGGUUGAGCCGAGCCGCGUCGUCGGACAGUGAGAGCAGCUUUGACACGUGCUCUCAGUCGGGUAUAUCCAGUCAUGGGAUUCUGACGCCAGACAAAGCCGGGUCCGGGAGGCGGAUGUCGUAUGGGCGAGGGAUUGACGAGCAUGGGCGGUCGAGCAGCUUGCAGAAGGCCAGGCGAGGCAGCUCGACGUCGCCGCAGUUCGGGCCUUCGUCAUCCAAAAAGUCUCUGGAAUCAGCCGCGCGGGUAACGUCUUGGCCUUUCUUGCUGACGUUGGCGUGAAACCAUUUCAGGGUGGGUGCUGGCUCCCGUGAAAAGAGAGUGAGAGGUUGCAGUGGCGCUGUUACCCAACAAGGUGGUCUUGCGUUUUGUUCGUUACUAAUGCUGUGGUGAACAGGAAUACCAUCGAGGCCAAGUUGCGGCGUUUCGGCCUCUGAUGACCAACAGCUCCAUUUCCACAUUCUACACCAGCAGGGCAAGCGGGCUGCUUCGGAGGCCACUGACGCCGAGCAGCACGGCAAGCUCCUCCGAGCACGGUGCCACGGUGGCGCAUGACAGUGAGGUGGACGACGAGGAUGCCGGCAGCCAGUGGAAGGGGUCGAUUGGACGGGGAUGUGAAGCUCAGUCCCCUCUGCAGCUGUUCGACAAAUCUCUGGGCAGCGCGCACGAGAGUGGCACCCUGGAUGGGAGCAGCAUCGCGGACAACGAGGAAAUGAGCAGCUUCUUCAAGAACUCGGAGCUUGCUCUGGAGGUGGAACCGAAGCUGGAGGAACGGGUGGGCAAUGCGGAGAUCAAUUGGUUGUCCAGAGAUGAAGCAGAGGAUGCGGAGUAUCUGUGCUCGGGGGACGUGAAAGACGGCGAGUCUCAUCCUGCUUUUGACUCGAGGAAUGAGGGCAGCCGGGUUCCGGCGGGGCUGAGCAAGGCGGUAGAGGACGCAGGCAACAGUGGUAAUGGAGUCGGGGCGGGUUCUGGUAGCAAGCCAGGCAGUUCAUCAGGACUGGAGAAGAUCAGGGAUAAGUUGAGGCAUCUGAAAAGCAGCACUGAGGCCGAGACUGAGGGUGAAGGCGUGGAGCUCGCAGCCACGAGGGCGCAUGCUGUGAAAUGUGUGCUCGGCAGUUCCACUGAUGCGCUCAGUGGUCCGAGAGUCGCAAGUCCGACGGAGGGGUUGGUUCAGCUCAGUGGCGGGGAGGUUGAGGAGGUAUGUGUUGUUUGCGGUCUCGGGAAGACUCCGGCAGGUCGUGUUGGAACGUCUGAGAGGUGCGGGUGUCGGUGCGACUCGCUCGCAGGCGGGUCACUGCAAUCGCAGGAAGGGGUGUGUUCAAGGCCGUUUAGUGGGGAGGGAGGAAGCGCUAAGGAGGAGAAAACGAGAGGCCCGUCCAGGGCGGUCGACAUGGUUUACGGCAAAGAGCGAGACGUGUGGUACAUAUACCGGCAGUCGUCCGAGAAUGGAGUUCCAUCAGCAGGGGCGUCGGAAGCAAAGAUGGAAGUGGAAGCUCCCGAAGUGCGUGGGAUGGAGGCGGAUUGGAGGGUCAAACCGUCAGUGAGUGGGGAUCAAAGCAGCAGGGGUAGAGACUUCAGCCCCAGUGCGGUGAGUGCACAAGAGAGUUCCCAGGUUGUGAGAGAGGAAAUUGUUCCAGCUGUGGUUCCUGUGAGUGGUGAUGUUGGGCGUGUGGAGGUAGACAACAGCAUUGUGCAGAGCGAGCAUGGCACAUCGGGUCAGUUUUCGGGUGAGUGUCGCCCCUCGGGUGCGGGUGAGCCGAGGAGCGUGCCUGAUGCAGGUGCUGGAGCAGGUGGAGAGGGUGAGGAUGUGACGAGAAUGGGAUAUUAUCGUCCACAAGCAUCAAGAGACGAUGCGGGUCCAGGGAGCGAAGGCAAGGCGCGGGGCGGAAUGAGUACUGAGAUUGCACACGGGGUGAAGGCGUGUGAGCGGGUCAUGCAGAGUAACGGCGAAGCAGAGAAUGGGAAGCAGAAUGGCGUGCACCAGGGCGUGAAUGAAAAGUCACGGGAUUCCGUUUCUGUCGGCGAGGCAUGCAAGCCUGUGGACAUGAACCACGGAGUUGUGGAGGUGCCUCGCACGCUAGCACCACAAUCCAGCUCGGUGCCGCACCCUGGCAGUGUGGUGAACACCGAAUCGUGCGUUUCCGAGUCACCGACAACGCUCCUGAUAACCGUGCACACGAGGUCCACAGCAGAAGGUGGUCGCACGGAUGUUGGAGCCAGUAGGGAUCUGUCCUUGAGCAACAGCCACAGCGGAGCGGCGGCGGCGGCGGCGGAUGUUGUGUGGCAUGCUGAGUGUGCAGACCCGUAUACUCCAGGUAAAGGGAGAACGCGGGUGGCGGUGGAUGUAGUGGAUAUCGUACGUGAGCCAGCUUCGAUGAGCACAGAGUCAUGCGCUGGGGUGAAUAGCAGCGAGGAUGCUUCCACUGUAGUCGCGCCCAGCAGCAACAAAGCACGGCGUGAAGACGAAGUGCAAUGCAGGGACCAAACAGCGGCACGAGGUGCAGCCUCGGAUGAGAGUAUGGAUGAGCGUGAUUGUGCAAGCCAUGGGGACGACGAUGCUACAUUCAUCGACAUCCCAGUGGCCCCUCGUGAAGAGGUGACUGCGGAGUUGGGGGUUCCUGAAGCGAUCUACAAACAAGCGACGCACAGGGGAUUGUUGAGCGAGUCACUCCAAGCUGAACCGGUUUCGAUCGCAGGGGAGAACCCAAAUCUGUUGCGUGUCGAGGAGGUGGGGCGCGUGGACUCGGAGAAUCUCAUGGUGGAGAAGUACAGGACCAGUGCUGAUCAUGACGUGUGGAACUCACUGAAGUUCCCUCAGUCGGUGCACCAGUCAGAUCGAGAAGCACGCAAGGAGAGGGAGCCGACAGGGGUGAGACGUGAUGGACCGGGUGUGCGGAGGUUCGGAAGCGGCGUCCAUGCGGGGUGUUUGAGCAAGAGCAGCUCGUCGAAGUCUUCCUUCAGAACCCCGACCUCCGGGAGCAGCAUCGACUUGUCACGAAGCACCGACACGACUUCGUCGUGCCCCAGCAAUGCAUCUUGGGAAGAUCCGCAGUACGUGGGGUCCAAAUUCUGGGACUCUCGACCAGCUCCAGACGUGGGUCGAGUUUCCGACGCCAGCGAACGUGCAGGUGCAGGUUUGAGAAGUGAUUCGACGGCGGAGCAGAUGGGUUUGAGCGCGAGAGGUGCAGGAUAUGAGGCGAGAGUG
rnacentral:lncRNA from 1 species